rnacentral:lncRNA from 1 species
GUGGUCAGAAAAUUAGAGUUGCAUUUGCCAGGAUAACUUUCAAGAAACCUCACAUACUUUUGCUUGACAAGCCAUCCAAUUAUCUGGUAAGUUUUACUCAUUUUUCUCUGCCUUAUGAUUUUAAUUAGUUUUUCAGUUAGUUAUUAAUGUUCUUGCACUAAUUGAACUUAUUGGAAUGUGGUCUUUACAUUGAAAAUAAGUUAGAACCAAUGAGUGCUCAUAGCUACAGGGAGCCUCUGUCAUCAUAAAUCUAAGUCAUAAUUAACGAAACCAAUCUAAUUGUUCCAACUUGGAAAAUAUUGGGAAUAGAACAGUCAUGCUAGCCUGAUCAGUUUUUUAGUAUUGGAGUAAUCUAUAACACAAAAUAGUUCUGAUAUCUGUCCCUAUAGGUACUAGUGGGCUCUGCAUAUAAUUAAUGUGUUCCUCUUUUUGUUUAUAAAUGUGGUCUUCAAGUUCUGCUUUAAUGAUCAAUGAUUACUACAGUAUAAUCUUUGUAAGUUGUUUGUUUCUUCUCUAAGGAUGAGUGAGUAUGAUUCUGCAUUGUUGCACACCAACAACUGUAGGAUUUGGAUGCGGUUGAGGCACUCAUUCAAGGUCUGGUCUGUUCCAAGGAGGAAUUCUGAUGGUGAGAUUGAUAUUCUUGUCAAAAUACUUCAAUUUGACCAAUGAUGGAUCAUUUUCACAGCUAAUAGCCCCCCUCUUUCACCUUGAUAUGCAGGUUAGUCACAAUGAGCAUCUAAUAACUGGAAGCUUGGAUGAUGUCUGGAUGGUUUCUCAAGGCAAGGUAGCGCCUUUCCAUCGGAAUUUGGAGGACUAUAGGAAGAUAUUUUAGUUUUGGUCGAAUCAGAUGAAUCUGGUUAUCGUUAUCAACUAAGAAUGGUUCACCGGGUUCACAUUACCUUACAAACCGAAAAUGAGGCUUAGCUAUAGAGAGAAAGGGAAAAAAGACAAAAAGAGGAUUGCUGCGGAUAUACAGGAAGGAUUCACAGUUACACGAGCCCAUGUUUGUAAUUUAUACUUGAUUAGGGUUCGUGGAGGGAUGAAUCUAAGUUUUUGACAUUAAGCAUGCAGCAUCAUCUGGCAAUAGCUCAAGAACUGAGUUGGGAUUGCAGUCGUGGUAUGAUUUACAACCCUUUGCGCAUUUUUCCCUCGCAAUGGAUCAUUUGUUGUGCCCCUGGAAGUUUUAUACUCUGUCACCGCAGAAGGCAGCUUUCUAUACACAGUAGAAUGAUUUAAACAUUUGCAAAAGAACCAUGUUAGCACAGUACAUUAUUUUGUAGGAGAGUGAGAGUAGUUUCCAAGAAAUUAGUUGUAUUAAUAUAUUUUUGUUGUUCGGCACUAUUUAGGAAAGUUAAUUACGAAAAUAUAAUCAUGGUCAACAAAAACUUUGUACAAAUACCGUUGGCCUUGCCUAGGCAGAAAAUGCUAUAAUGAAACUCUGUACAAAUACCUGAAUUUGUUAGAUAACGUUCUGGUCAAUAUUCAAAAUAAGAAGUUUUCUUUCUUCCAACUGCUACGAUGCACAUGGAAGAACGGCACCGAAAACAGAGGGUUUUGAAUAUGCUAAUGUAACAACUAAAUUCUGAAUGAGCCGUGCAGGUCAAAACCUAUUUCACAAACUGGUUGCCUGGUCAAAGAUUAAAGUUCAUCUUUCUUUUAUUUAAAUACCCACUCCAUCUCUUGGCAACAUUUUUAGCGGUCCUACAUCUUAUAUUUCCUGGGCAGGAGGGGAAACAGGAGGGAGAUCUAUAGGUGUGGCUACACUCUGGAUUUUACUUUGAGGAUUUGCGUCCGCUAUGAGAUAAUCUUAUUCCAAGAAGAUCGUCACAUAGCACCAGUAAUGACCAAUUCCCUGAAGUAGGCAAGCCCCAUUACAAUUUCCCUCAUUAAGGUGCCAAAGGUCCAGAACCAUUCACAUGCAAAGAGAUACGCGCACUACCAUUGCAAAUGGUUUCAAUCUCGUGAGCUCCCAUGUUGAACUUAUAUCUUGAGUUGGAGCAGAUGAAGGAAAUUUGAUCCGGAAAGGAAGUGUGCUUCUAUGGCUUCAUGAUAUACGACAUUGAGGAAUGUUGUUACAUGAGUUCUAUUAUUGGACACUUCUGUUACAUGAUAAAAGUUAUUGCCAGCUACAUGACCUUUGUGCCAUAACAAUCAUUUUCAUGUCAAGGAGCAAAAACUGUUUUCUACUUCUUCAUCAUCGGAACCUGCUUGAGACAUUGUCUCACGAACUAUUUUCAGCAGUCUUUUGAUCUGAAGCUGCCGCAAGUUGAGCUUGAUGUUGACUUUUGUUGAGGAAAAAUUGAGUUUGCUCUGGUAGUCUGCGACUUUGACUGAGUAGGAUUUGCAGCGAACCAUAAACGCUUCUUCGUUUGCAAAUUACGGGGCAAAUUUUGCCCACCAUUUAAUUUUUCAAUUGUCUUUUAAGCGUAGAGAAUGUCACGGUCUAUUGCACAUUAUCUAACAUGUGAACAAUCAUCUCCAUCUCUUAGAAGUAUCUAACAUGUAAAGAUGAGGAGGUUCUUGAACAUUUCGAGUGAACUAAUUAUCUCCAUUUGAAAACUCUGGAGGUAAAAUAUGAGAACCUGGACCAAAUUAGAGUAAACCAGCCUUGGAACCAAAUAGGACUCGUUUCCAGAAAUUUUUUUAUCAAAGAAGAAGAAACAUAAAUGAUCAAAAAAAUUUCUGACUUGAAAAGUUAUACCAUGUUUGCAUAUAAUCGUAGUAACUAUAUGAUUGAGGCUUACAUGAAUUCAUAAAAAGUUCUGAUUUUAAGAGGAUGAUCUGUAAUAUAAUGAAAAUCUGGAGGGAUGUGACCCAACAUUAUUUUUAUGACCGAGUUUUUAAAAGUUCAUCUAGGAUUUUGUUUGUUCGGAGAAAAAUAUUUUAAUCAAAAAUUAUUAUUUUCAUCUUUCACUAUAUAGAGGGGUAAAAAAUGCUUGUCAAAGGAAAUUACUUCGGUCAAUCAGAAAAUCAAAUCAUAUAUAUAUAUAUAUAUAUAUAUAUAUAUAUAUAUAUAUAUAAACAACCUUUUAAUUUUAAAAGUCGAAGUACAAAAAUAGCAUGGACACAAGAAUCUAAGCCGAACUAUUUUAGGCAAAAAUAAAUAAAUAAUGGAGUUCCUCUGGUUUGCUGUCACAAGAAGUUGCCGCCGGAUAUAGUGGUGAUUCCUUGAUUUACAUGAGGGGGAUCACCACUCAGAUGAUUUUCCUUUUUGUUAUUAUGUAUAAAAUCUUUUGAUUGAUUAGUUGAGGCGAUAUUGAACUCACUAAAUUAAGACCAACUUGACCAUAUAUAAACCCAUGUCAACUUGUUUAAGAUUAGUAGGGGAUAAGAAUGUCGAAUGAAAGAGAAAAUCAACGUCGGUUCAGUUGAUUUGAGAAAAGUAAGAACGUCGUUUCAAGUUGUAUGUCUACAAGACUAGAGUAUGUUUUCUUCGCAAAAGAUAGUAUAAAAGUUCGCUCCGAACUUUGCUCGUUUGAAUCAAUUUUUACAUGACUUUCCAGAUGAUUUUACCAUUUAUGAUUAACUUGUUCAUCCUGAAUUUGUUACACCAUAGAUGAUAAAUCGAUGAAGCUCCACUACUACCUAAUAUCAGUUCACUUGUUUCCUAAAAUGGACUCGUUUGAUUUAGUCGAGUCUAAAUAAUAUUUUCUCAUUCUUUUAAUAAACAAAGUACGUAUCUUUUCAUGAUUUACUAGUUUGUUAUUCAGAAAGGGACAGACUGAAUGUUUCGCUAUUUACCUACUUUCCCCCUUUUUCUGGACUAGUAAUGGAUCAGUUGCUCCAUUUGGUUUUUCUUUUGGUCUUACUUACCCAGCCGGUUGCCUUAUCUUGGUGUAAGAUAAUUGUGGUUCAGAGGUUCAAUCCGAUCAAGCUGCGGCAAAUUCCGAUUGCACACUGUCGAUUCUCAAGGUAUCACAAUGUCUUUUCGUUAAAUUUUUGUUGGUGAUAUUAUUUGUUUGUCGAUUGGCUGCUGUUUUUGUGUCGAUGAAUGAGUUGAAGAAGAACUAGUUCGAGAGAUAAGUCCCCGUUUUAGCUAUUAGCAUCAUUUUUCGGAUAAAGUUGGUUAGGAUCACCGAGUUUAUUUGAUGAGUGGACAUAAAGCUGAUUUAUGCCUGCUUAACAUCGUCUGCUUAGCUGGCCAAGCCCCUUUCGUUGUGCUUUUUGAGUCGUUGAAUCGAAUUUCAAAAGGUUCGCUGGAUUUUUUUUAUUUAUUUCGAUACUCGUUUCUUUUCUGGCUGGAUACUGCUCAACUAAAUCUGUCCUAAGGAGCAAAAUUAGCAUUUGCAGAGUGAAUUGGGAAUUGGUUUUAGCCUAUAUCUCUCUCAUUUUCAUCGAUUUGAAGUUCCCCUCUUUUCGAACUUGCCUGUUCUAUCUAGCUUGACUCUGAUGGGAUUUUGUUAUCUUUAACACCAAAGCUGCUAGUGGUUCAUCAUACGCUAAAUCAUUUGUAAACAUAGGAAGCAUGAUGAAGAUAAUUCAACGAUACAAUACGAUAUCCUUGAAGUUUUUCUAGUUUCUUUAGCUAUACGGCUCUAUGUUUUGUUUGUUUACCGACUAAGACGGUUCUUAAAUUGGUGGUUGACACCUCUCACUGAGAAUCCAAAUCAUAUGCUAAUUAAGGGCAUUUCCAUCAUUUUGUUUGCUUGAUCUAGGCGUGGAUGGUGAGGACAUAACCAAUUUUGACUGUGCUUUCGUCCAGAAGAUUAUCAGCAUGAUGUUCACCUACUUGAGACUAAGGGAUAAGGUGGUCCUUCUUCUAUUGAGUGGCAAAAAUUUAUCUUUCUUGCAUAAUGAGAUGAUAUAAAUGUCACAACAGAUUGCUCUUGCGCCAAUGGUCGAGCCCCUUCGGCUAUGUAUUUCUAAAAGAAAUGACUGGAGAGUGAUUUUCCUUUUUGGAGUCAUCAUGGCUGUUAGAGAAAUUAACUCUAAUUCUGUGAUUUUUUUUUUCUGAUGUUAGGAGUGAUUCUAUUUGUUUUAUGAGAUUGGUUAGAAGCGUAGCUGUAUGUUUUUGUAGUUGUUACUAUAAUUAGCUCGAGAGGUGUUCGUUAGAAUGUCCUAGAAAAACUUGAGUUGAAUAGCUUUUGGGAUAAUCAUCUUUUAUACACACACACUUUUGUACAAAGUGGAGGUGUGAGAUUUUAUCUCUUCAUUUUUUCUAAUUCUUUGCUUAUUUGAGUUCUUCACUACGUUCAUCUUGGGUAUAAUGUUUAUCAUUUCAACUUGCUCAAAAAAAAAAAAAAAAACUUGCUCGAUAUCUUUUUUGUGUAAUUCUAAUAAUUAGUUGUCUUAGUGCUUAUAAAAAAAAAAAAAAAACAAGCUUUCUAAUCAUUGUUUACAGAUUUGGGACCUUAUAGCAUCUCCUUGGAAAUUUGAAUUCAAUGAAAAUGCAUUUAAAAUUUGAUAAUAUAGCAUGAAAAUUCCUUAUAUGACGUGAAUAAAGUAUGUCUCUUUAGGCAAAUUUUUCUUUUCAAACAAUGAAAAGUAACAUCCUGUUCAUUUUCAUAUUUCAGCCCAAACGUCACAAAUGUUGCUAUUUUCCUGGUUGACAUCUGAAUUUUCUCCAAUAAAUUUAACAUACAUUCGUCUAAAAAUUCAAAUAUAUAAAAGAAAAAAAAUAAGUUCAAAUUAAAAAACAAGAGAGAGAAAAUAAAAUGGUAAAAACUCAAGCUCACCAGAGGAGGUUCAUAGAUCUUGUCCAAUUUGCGCAACCCAAUUCGGCCCAAAACUCAUCAAAUACGUAAAGCCCGCUCAUCAGCCACACCAAGAGGCCCAUCAGCCCAAAGCCCACGAAAGGAAUCAAGUUCGGCCAUUUCUUUUGGCUUUUCCUCUCUCUCUCUCUCUCUCUCUCUCUCACCUUCGGAAGCCCCAAAGGUCACGCAGAGGAAGGGGUUAAGGGAAUUGAUCCUUCGCUGGUUUUAAUAUCCUGCAUCUCCGCCGCGUCGCAUUGGCUUCUCCGGUCUUCAUUACUGGAAAAUCUACUAUGUGCUCGUUCAUACCCCUGAACUGUAUUGAUAUGCAUGUUUGAGGACUGUUUCUUCAUUUAAGAUAUCCCAUUGUGUAGUGCGUACUUGAGCUGCGACAUUCUUCAGCAUACUUGUCAAUUUACUUUCUUCAGUUGGUUCAAUGCAAGUAUGUAUAACCGUCAAGUCUCUCAACACGCUGUGCUGACCAACAAUUUAGAGAAGUUGCGCGUGGAUUUGCUGUAACCAGCUUAUACUCAACCGGUAAUGUUAAGCUCAUUGAUGUUUAGAGCGUAUGUGCUAUUUUAGAACUGAACGCGUCAAUGGAUUGCAAAGUAUACAAUGGUCGUAGUUUGUCUGCCGCUGCUUUGUCGAUCAUGCGGCCACAGGAAAUCCACUCUUAUAGAUUCAAGCAGUAUGCAGAAAGCUUGCACUAUACUUUGCUCUCAGCAAAGGCGGCCAUUAAGCUCCACGAAAGUGCUCCCAGAAGACCUGGUAAAACCAAAGUAAUGAUCUUCUUCAGUAACCAAAAAGUGGGACGGAGUCACCGCAACAGCCAUCUAGUUCGUGAAUAAUGUCCCUACAAAUGAAAGUAAAUGCGAUUUUUUACGUGAAAAAAACGCCGUCCAUAAAAACAAGAUAAAAAUAAAGAGAAAAUGUACCGGGUAAUUCCGUAUAGAGGUUUGAUGAGCCGUGAUAACUGGUAACGCAGAAGAACCAGAUAUCAUAUCACGGCUGCCUAGUCCAGCGCAAACGGAUCGCUAGUCCUGUUAAGUAUCAGAGCAAACGGAAGCUGAUCAGCGCAAACAGAUUGUUAGAUCUAAUUUUCCAUUAAGAAAACCUUCGAUCUAGAUGCCAAUCAUCUUUCGAAUAAAAAUGUAUGAAGGGCCCAAGACACCUUGAACAACAUAAAUCAUCGCAACUGCAACUUUGUCCGGGGACAAGUUAACCCCGAAAAACUCUACUGAGCUUGUAUAGUUCUUUUCUUCCGAAGAAGAUUUUUUCUGGAAGUGGCUGUUUCUUCGUCAGUGUUUGUCGUCAACGUAUCCCCGUUCCUACACCUAAAUUACUAAUGGAAAAGGAUAAGGAAACACGGCAUCAGAUCAGCAGUGGCAUUAGGGAAGCAGCAUCAAGUUUUGUGGAUACAUGUUAGAGAAAAGACAUGUUCGUGAGUAAAAUCUAACAGCUGCCAAAACGAACAAAAAAAGAAAAAAAAAAAAAAAAAAGCCACUUCAGAUCGGUGACCUUGACAGAGAAGUCUGCUUCGACAUAGGUUGUAAAGUUGCAUCAAAUAUACAAGUCGACUCUUUUUUCAUGUUCGAAAAGAUUGAGUGACAAGCUUGCGCUCAAUUCCACGCAACCAAGAAGCAGCACAUAUUUGGCCGAUAAAAUUCGAUAUUUCAGCAGGUUUUUUACUUCGCUCGAGCAGUAUUUUCCGUUGCUCGAAGAAUACUCUCGUCUCUAUUUGUGGAACUUCAACUAGAUUAGACAGGUGAUAGAUCAGCUCAAAUUAUAUCAGAGACGUGCAUGAGCAAAGACGAUCGGCCAGGAGCACCAAUAUCCAGCAGAGUGAAUUGAAUUAUAACCAUCACCACUUAAACCAGUUAAACGAGCAACAACUACAUUGCCAAUGUCACGUAAGUGGGUACUUAACAAUCAUCCUAAAUUCAGGCAUAAAUUCCCCAAAAGGAAAACAAAUAUUUCACCAAAGAACAAAAGGCUAUUAUUAUUAUCCACAGUUGGGGUAAAUCGGUGAGAAUAACCAUCGGAGACUGAAAAAUUUUGACGCAAUAAAAAGUUAACGAUUCUGGAAUUCGGAAGCCAAUCACGAUCCUCUUUGAAAUGGCAAGGCGCCGCCGACAUCAGGACGGCAGCGGCAUGCGGUUGCCCAGUGGCUCCGGUGGACUUUUCCGGGGAGCACGUCUCCGGGAACCGAGCGUCGAGGUUCGACGACGUCCUGCGAGAUGGAGGACAAAGGUAGAAUCUUCGGGGAUCGGCAGUUCGAAGAACGAGAUGGUUGUUAGGAAUUUUAUCUUGUCGCCUUUUGGAUGGUUGGAUUGAUUGAACUGCCCUCCUCGCGUGGGAUUAUUCAUGGGCGGACCUUGGUUGUCACUGUAUUGAUUAAAUCACCUUUACCAAUGCAAUUUUCAUAACCGAAAAAUCGUGGCAAUGAAACAUUUCAUAGCUAAAAAAGUACAAAUUCUUUUUUGGCCACCAUUGUAGCCACGGUUUUUUUUUUUUUUAGUGACCCAAGAACCGCUGUACAGCCGACAGCCGACGACGUAAAUUCGGGGCGGUGCCGCAGGGACCCACCUCCCAUGACGUCACAGGUUAGGCGAGCAAUGCGCACGCCGGGACUCGAACCUCCCCCCUUCCGCAAUUAGAGGGGGAAAGGCCCAAGCCAGCACACCCACAAGCGGGUGGGUGUAGCCACGAAAGUUUUCGUUUAUAUUUUCGAAAGAAAUUUGGUUAGGAUCACCUAGUUCAAUUGAUAAAUUGGUCUCAAUUCAGUCCUAAACCUUUUGAUAGUACUAAUUUAAUCAUAAAUCUUUUGAAUUUGUGCUAAUUUUGUCUUAAACUUUUUGAACUAUUGCUAAUUUAAUUCUAAACGUUUUGACUUGAUGUUAAUUCAGUUCUUCUAGUUAAUUUUGAUUGUAUAUUGCUGACAAGGAUGCUGGCCAGCUUACGUGGCAUUGUCGAUGCUGAUAUAGAUAAUCUUUAAUAAUAUUUCAAUAUUUUUCAAUUUUUUUUGUUCCUUUUUACUAUUUUUUCUUCUUCUUCCUUUUCCCAAUGACUGGCCACUGGCCACGGUUGAACAAGCUAGCCUCACCUGGUCAUGGCGAGGCCGAGUCUCGACGAGGGUCGACCUCACUGGAUUUGGCUUAGGCAAGGCCGACCUUCCCUAAGCGUCACCUUCGCCCGUGUUUUCUUCUAGAAGAUUAUCAGCACGAUGUGCACCUAUUUGAGACUAAGGGAUAAGCUGGCCAUUCUUCUAUUGAAUGGAAAAAGUUGAUCUUUCUUGCAUAAUGAGAUGAGAGAACUGUUACCACAGAUUACUCUAGCACCGAUCUGCGAGCUCCUUGGGUUCUGUAUCGCUAAAAGAAUUGAUUGGAGAAUGAUUUUCCCUUUCAAAGUCAUCAUGGUUGUUAGAGAAAUUAAGUCUGAUUCCGUGAUUUUUGAUUUUCUGAUGUUAGGGGUGAUUCAAUUUGUUUUGAGAUUGAUUCUAUGAAGAUGGCAAGAAUCGCAGUUAUAUGGAUUCGUAGUAGUUGCUAUAAUUAGCCUGGUUGGUGUUCGUUAAAAUUUCCUAGGGAAAUUUGAGUUGAUUGUCACACUGGACAAUCAUCUUUUGUGAAUGAUAAAUGUGUCUUCACUUUUGUGCAACGUGCAGGUGUGAGAUUUUAUCUCUUCAUUUUCUAUAGUCCUCUGCUCAAGUUAUUUUGGGCAGUUCCAAUAAUCAGCUUAAGUAAGCUGUCAUUGUGUUUGGUAAGCUUUCCUAGUAUUUGCUUUACAAAUUUGGUACCUUACAGCGUGUUAUGAAAAUUGAAUUCCAUAAAAUUGUAUUUAAAGUUGAUUAUAUAACAUGCAUAUCCCUUAUAUUGCACGAAUAAAGAAUGUCCAAGUUUUCCUUUUUUAACAAUGGAAAAUAAUUUCUAAUACGGUUCCAAGUUUUAGCCAAACAUCAGGAAAUAUUAUCAUUUUCUCAAUUGACACCUGAAUUUUCGCUGAUAAACCCAGCACACAUUUGUGUAGAAAAUAUAAUCGUAGUUAAGAACAAAAAUAAAAUAAAUAAUUACAAAUGAAAAAGAGAGAAUAAAAUGGUAAAAGUCAAGCUCGCCAGAUGAAAGUCAUCAAUCUAGUCGAAUCCGUGCAACCGCUUCGGCCCAAAACUCAUCAAAUAGGUAAAAGCCCGCCAGUCCACACUUCGCACAGGCCCAGAGUCACAAGUCUGAGCUGAAGGAACCAAGCCCACAGAGGAUUUGCGUUUUCUCCCUCUCUCGCCCGAAGCUCCAUCUCCACCAUUCGAGUUUCACAAUGGCCGAUUCUAGUAUUCCGCCAUCUCCACCGCCUCGCAUCGGCUUCUCCGGCCCUCAGACGUAACUCUUCCAGUUCCUCCCACGGGGAAAAGCUUUCUGAGUUGUGCCGAUAGCUCUGCGGUUCCAGCCUCGACUCGUCUUGAAUUUCCUGCAUUCCCUUGAAGCUUCUCAAUCUCACUCGAACUGGAGCCAAUCGUAGCCAAGCGCCUCCCUCGCUCGACAACUUCAUUAUCGUUUGUUUUUGUCACUGCCUCCUCCUUCGGUUUCUAUCGUCUUCGUUCUCCGACGGAGGAGAAUAGCCGUGACUGAAACUCGAUCAGAAUUGGAUUCUUCACUUUGAGCUCUUCAUCAUUCGGUUACUGCAACCAUUUUGAAGGUAAGUCGUCUCUCAUUCUCUGGAUUUCAUUUUUCAAUUCGGUCAAUAGCAUCGAUUCUCGGCCUUUUUCUGAAUUUCCAGAGACCUCUUCAUCGAAACUUCUUCUCUAUUUCCCUCCAGACACUGUCAGCCACUGCCAACCGCAACCGAUCGUCACCGUUCCCAUUUCCACGGCUGCCGUCGGAAGCUCUGUUCGCCCCUGUUCUCCGUCACCGAUGCUGAAGUUCUCGGACCGCAGUCACCACCGUCUCUCGUGACGGUUCCAUUUCAUGAAGCCGCGUCUGCGAUCACCUUACCAAGGUCCGAUCAUUAAUCGCCACAGGUAAUCAUCCCUUAUUCAAUCGAAUCACAUAUGCUCUGUUUCAAGUUGCUCUACGUACAGACUACUGCAUGGGUAAAAUCUACUAAUUGCUUUGUGAUCAUCUCGUUCACAUAACUGAACUUAUUGAUAUGCAUAUUUGAGGUUGAGGUGCUUUUCUGUAUCUUCAUAUCAGAAUUGUGCAGUGCGUGCUUGAGCCGAGAGAUUCAUCAGUAUAUUUAUCGACUUACUUUCGUCGAUUUGUUCAAUGCAUGCCCGACCGUUGCUCUCAACACGUUGUGCUGAUCAACGCUUUAUAGAAGUUGCGCUUGGAUUUGCUGGAACCAGCUUAUACUCGACUGGUCAAGUUGAGCAAAGGUGGUCACUGCAGCAACCAUCUAGUUCGUGAAUAAUUCCCCUAGAAAUGAAAAAAUAGGUGCAAUUCUUAAGAGAAACGGCCGCGGUCCGUGAAAACAAGAUGAGGAAAAGAGAAAAUGUACCUGAUAAACCCGUAUAGAGGUUAAACGAGCCAUGGUAAAGCAGAAAAACCAGAUGUCACAGCUGUAUAGUCAAGCGCAAACAGCUUGUUAUGUUAAUCCUGAUAAUUAUCGGAGACUGAAGCUGUUCGGCUGCUUAGAAAGACACUCCUUUGUAGAUGCCCAAAAACAAUAAAAAUAAAAACCAAGCCCACAACCAGACUUCUUAAGUACGCGCGUUUCUCUCUUCAUACUGCCGGAACAUACGAAUUAAAUGUUCUCGAAGGAGUCCUAACCAAGCCCACAGCCUGACUUACUGAUUGAAUGUUCUCUAUUUUAUUUUGUGGUGUCCCAGUUUUGUGGGUUUUCGAUUGUUGAAUUGACUGAAUUGACAUUCUCUUGUGAGAAUAUUCUCGGAUGGGACUUCGGUUGUGAGGUAAUUAGACUCGGUUUCCUUCGUUAAUCGAAUGGCAGAUUUUUUAUUAGUUUGGCUUUUUAGUUAGGGCUUCUAGGUGAAUUCGAAUUCAAUGCGACCAUGUGAACAUCAUGUUGAUAUAGCUAAUUCGAAAUUAAUAUGAUUUGACUCUUUUUGGAUACUUUUUGGUGAAAAGGGCGAUUCCUCGUAAUAAUUAAAAUAAAAAAAAUUUAUAUUGAAAAUUUCAUGAUAAGAGAAAGUAUUUUUCAUGAAAUUUUGAUUUGUUUAAUAGUUUAAAAAAAAGAAGUGAUUUCCUUCUUGUUAUAAACGAAAUGCGGUUUUUCCCCAAUUUAAAAUUGUUGCUUUUCAAAAAAUAUUUUUUUAUAAAUUAAUUAAUUUUCCGUCAUCUAAACUUUAAAAAGUCAAAAAGGAAUUUCCCGAAAAAUAACUUUCCUUCGAACAAACAACCCUAAGUUUAAGUAAGUUCAGCGACUAUUUAAAAGAAAGGAUCUUGUAACUCUGUAGAAGACUACUAGAGACGUUGGCAGAGGCUUUCAAACACGCCCAGGCGCCCCCCCCCCCCCCACCCCCCUAUUAAUGGGCAAGAUCGGAGUCACUUGAAUCUAAGUUUAAUUCAGCUCAGAGAAGUGCUAAGAUGUUGGCAAGAGGCCCUUGAACAGGCCCUCUCUAUCUCUUUAUGAGCAAAAUUAGCGUCACUUAAAUCUAAGCUUAGUUUGACGAGUAAGAAACUAUCAAAAUAUUCGGAACAAGACAUGCGCUUAAAAUAUCACUAGAACUAGAGGAGAUUAUUACGUGAAAUGAUUCCCUAGGAUUCAAGAAUUGGACGUGCUCUUACAAUAUCACUAGAAUUAAAAGAAAUUAUUACGUGAAAUGAUUCCUUAAAAUUACUCCAUGUCACUAGCUAAUCUUUAUGAACUAAGAUCUUAUCAUUUCAUUGUAAGUUGCAAAAUGUGAAAUUGGUGCAAUUCAGCUUGUCAAAUUAAUAAAUAAAAAAAAAUAGAGAUGUGCUUGUCAUUUUAUAUACAGUAUAGGUAGUUACAAUCAAAUCUUUUGCAAAGUAUACAUGGACACUGAAAAGAUUACAUAUUAGAAAUUGAAAACCACUGACCAAUAAAAUUACAUACAAAAAACUUGUAAUUGAAAAAUAAAUAACAAAACAUAUAUUAAAGAUACUCUGAUAGUAACCCUAAAUUUGAACUAGGUGCCACCACAAUGAGAUUGUCCUUCAAAAGAUUAAACCAAUAUAAUUUAUAAAAGUGUCAGCUAACUAAUUAGCAAUUGGAAUACAUAUUGAAAUAAUUUCACCAGAUGCGAUUUUGUCCUGAAUAUCAAUGUGCUUGGUGUGAGCAUGGAAAGCCAAAUUAGCAGCUAAAUAAGUGGCUAUAAUAUUAUCACAUAUGAUUUACAGCCGGUUUAGGUGAAAAUACAUGAAGAUCAUAUGACUUCUCUAAAAUCCAAUAAGUUUCUACAACUGCAGAGGCGAAAACUCCUGUAUUCAGAUCCCGCAAUGUCAUAUUGUACCCAAUAAAAGCUAAGUAUCCAGAUGCUAAGUGAUGAGUAUCGGGACAACCGACCCAAGAGCAUGAGUUAAUGUUACCAAGGAGCUGUCGAAUGAUGGCUUCAAUAACAGUCCAUGAUCAAUUGUUCCAUUAAAAUAUAUAAAAAUGAGAUUAAUCGCUUGUAAGCGAGAUGUUUGAGGGCAAUGCAUGAACUGAUUCUCGACACGGGCAGCAUAAGAAAUGUCGGUAGGAUCCAUCAGUAACACACCAUCAUGUAAAGAAGGUUGAGACUUAAAACUGUAGAAGAUUCCUAGUGUAAUGUGUUCGAGACAGCAAAAUUCCCGUACCUCUGGACUGGUCCUCAACGCCAAGGAAGAAUGCGAUGGAAAAAAAAACUUUCAUGGUAAAAGCAAAAAGAAGUUUCCGAAUGAAACUAUGUAACUCUGUGGCACUACUACCUGUUAAAAGAUUACCAUCAACGUGACGUAGUAGAAUCAAGAUUCUAGAGCUUGAAUUAUGCACAAAUAUGAGUCAUAUGCCUUGCUGUAAAUAAAAGUGUUCGAAUGCUUAAAGAAGAACUCGCCUUUGACCUAAAAGAGGUCCAUAAACAUGCGAAAAGUAGUGCUCAACACAAUAAUUCGAAUCUGAUUCCAACAAUGCGCAGUAAAUUUCAAAAUUUCAUCCCGACCAUACCAUAAUCCCAAGUUGACUUCCAUAAAAUCCCAUAGUUUCACGACACACCAAAGUUUCAUUACAACAUGAUUUCAUAGCUCAACAACCUCUAGAAUCAGCCUAGUAACCUAAAACCAGAAUAGAAUUGAAAUUGCAGCUUAACCUAUAAAAUUUCCUUCAAUCGGGUGAAUUAAGUCUUUGAAUUCUUCUCAAGCGCUUCACGUACCACAUUAAUCCAAUGCGUUAUGAACUUGAACUGAACCCUUUCUCUCUCUACCGCACAGUUCACUUCUCUUUUCCAGUUUUCUUGAUUCUUCUUUCUCCCUCUUGACUAUUCCUCUUUUCUCUAAUAAGCCAACUACAACAAUUAUAACUAAGCUGAAGGAAGUUAGUCUGUUGGGCUUCAAAGAUGCAGCCUCAUGGGCGCAAUAAAUGAGAAUUGGUCUCUUGAGCCUAAGUCCCUUUCUUUUUUUCUUUUUUUUUGUAAAGGGAAGACUAUCGUUAUGGCUGCAACUCUGGUUAAAGUCUUAGACAUGGAUGGGGGAAAUUUUUUGAAUGAACCCAGAGCCCAACUUGCAUCCACUAUUGAAUGAUGCGAGCUCCACGUUGAACCCAACUUUUCACGGUGCAUGUGAGAAAUUGUGAAUCCCGAAAUUCAUUCCUUCCAUUGUGAAUAUAUCUAUAGAUUAAGUUAGUUAAGUCAUUAAGUAAUUUAAGGUAAUUGGCCGUGAUGGUUAGUCCAACUAGUAGCACCAAUUGCUACGGUGAUGAUGGAAUGAGUCAUCCUACGGAGCUGUUGACGACAUUGGCAUGCCAUCGGCCGUUGGAUGGGUGGCGCUCUCUAUGUCGCCCCAUUCUUGAUUUUUUUUUUUUUUCAUUUUCAGUUUUUUGCUUCUUUUUUUUUUCUUAUUUGCUUUUCGUUUUGCCUUUUUUCUUUUAUCAUACUUGAACUUGUAAACAUACAGUAAAACCUAGAUAAAAUUCUAAUGGAGAAUUACAAUAGAGAUUAAUAUGAUGAAAAACCCCUAUGAUUAAACAUGAAAAUAGUACAACGAAAAUUAUAGUAUUGUUCUUUACCGAAAACAAAAAAACAAAAAAAAAAACAAGAAAAAACAAAAAAAAAAUUAUAGUAUUGUUAAUUUCACAUGUAACACAUGUAAAUUUCACUGGCAAUGGAAAAAAAGACAUUCACAUUGCGAUGAACGAGAGAUGUGAAAACUGGAGGAACAAAGCCAAUUUGCAUCCUGCAAAGUCUUAGUCUUCUUGGAAAUGAUUUUUCUCCCAUUAUCACUUCUUCUUCUUUUCGCAAAGUCUAGAUCUUCGUGGUUGAUUAAAUUUUUUUCUCCCAUUAUCACUAUUUUCACAAAGUCUUGGUCUUUCUAGAAAUGGUUAAAGUUUUUCUCCAAUCAUCACUUUUAUUUUUUUGCAAAGUCUUCAUCUUCGUGCAAUUGAUUAAAGUUUCUCUCUCAUCGUUAGAGCCGUUAAACGGGUGGGUCGGGUCGGGUUUGGGUCGGGUCAUUAAUGGUCCGACCCAAAUUGACCCAUUAACCCAUUUAUGACCCAUUAAUGUUUAAUGUAAAUUUUUCGACACAAACCCGACCCGACCCAUACCCAACCCAUACCCGACCCGACCCAACUCAUAUUAAUAAAAUAUUUUCAUAUUUAACAAAUUUAGAAAAACUUAUUCCCAUGUUUUUUUUAAAGAUUAUAUUAUUAAAAUACUUCCAAGCUUUUAUAUAUAUAUAUAUUAUUUUUUUUUUAAAAUUGUAUUGCUAAAAUAGUUUUAUACAAUAUAAAUUUAAUGGAAAAUUUUUAUAAAUUUUAAAAUAAUUAUUUAAAAAAAAAUCGAAAUUUAAUUAUUUAAAAAAAUUAAAAUUUUUAUUAUUUUUAAAAUAUAAUUUUCUUUUUCUUUUUCUUUUUCUUUUUCUUUUUUCUUUUUUCUUCUCCUUCUUCUUCUUCUUUGGCCGGCCGCCGGCCACGACGACGGCUGGCGACCGGCCACGACGACGGCCGGCGACCGGCCACAGGUGAGCCUCGAGCUCGAGCUCGCCGACGCCGGCGAGCUCGAUCUCGCCCGACGCCGAGAGCUCGAGUCUGGCCAGAUCGGCGAGGCUCGAGCCUCGCCAGAUCUGGCGAGCCUCGAGCUUGCCGACGCCAGCGAGGCCUCCGCCUCGCCAGAUCCGGCGAGCUCGAGCUCGCCCCUCGCCGGAACUGGCGAGGCUCGAGCCUCGCCCGACGCCGGCGAGCUCGAGUCUCGCCAGAUCUGGCGAGCCUCGAGCUCGCGGACGCCGGCGAGGCCACCGCCUCGCCAGAUCCGGCGAGGCUCGAGCCUCGCCCGAUGCGGGAGAGCUCGAGGCUUCGGCAGAUCGGCGAGGCUCGAGCCUCGCCCGACGCCAGCGAGCUCGAGGCUCGCCAGAUCGGCGAGGUUCGAGCCUUGCCGACGCCAGCAGGCUCAGGCUCGCCAGAUCAGCAGGCUCGAGUCUCGCCGGGCGUCGGCGAGGCCUCCGCCUCGCCAGAUCGGCGAGCUCGAGCUCGCCCGACGCCGGCGAGCUCGAGGCUCGCCCUGGCCCGGUCGCCGGGCUGUCGUCGUGCCGGCGACCGGAAGGAGGAAGGAGAAAGAAAAAAAAAGAAAGAAAAAAAAAAAAGAAGAAAGAAAAUAAAGGAAGAAAAAGAAAAGAGAAAAUAAAAAUAAAAAAAAUUAUAAUUUGGAUUUUUAUAAAGUUGAAGAGAGAAGGGAGGAAUUAUAAUGUUUUUGUUAAAGAUGAGUUUUCAACCCAACCCAUUUAAAAACCCACUUAAGACCCACCUAUCUUAAGCCUAUAAUUGUGAAACCCAUUUAAUUAUCUUUUGUUAUAAACAAGUGACCCAUUUUAACACCUCUACUCAUCGUCACUUUUUGUCCGGCAAAGUCUUGGUCUAUUUGGAAUUUAUUUAAAUUUCUCUCCCACCAUCACGAAUUUUUAUUAAAGUGCUUCACUUUUGCUUUACAUGUUUGAGUGAAAAUUAUGUAAUUUUGCUUCAACUUUCCCAAAAAAAGACACAUGAUAUCUAGCAAAAUCUUUGGGCAUAUUCUCUAAAUAUUGUGAAAAAUGCACUUGUGGACAAAAGUAUUUUAUAUCGAUUUCUCUAAUCUCUACGUGCAUUUUUGAAAGUCUUGGUCUCCCUAUAGUUUGUAGUUUUCUCUUUCCAUUAGCUCAUUAUCACUCAACUCUUGUUUUUCUCUUUAGUGACUGAUUCACCCAUGACCAUUGGAGAGCUCUUUUUGAGUUCCUUCUUGGCUUCCUUGUUGUACUAAUUUCUAGUAUUGUUAAUUUUAAGCAAGACAUGUAGCAUGUGGAAAUGCUACUAGUAAUGGAAAAAGAGACAUUGACAUAGGGAUGGAAGAGGAGGGAUGUGAAAAGUGAAGCAACAAGGACAAUUUGUGUCCUGCAAAGUCUUGAUCUUCCUAGCAUUGAUUAAAGUUUCUUUCCCAUUACCGCUUUUUCCCUUUGGCUUCACUUUUUACACAAAAAACUUGAUGAGAUCCAGUAAAGUCUUGGUCUUCCUAAUACGCCAAAAAGCUUGAGUUAGAUGGAAGAGGGUAUGUUUUGAUGCACAUUCUGUCCUCGAGUUAGAUUGUUCCCCUUUUUUUUCUUUUGACCAAAGCUCAUGAUUUUAUCUUCCUUAUCAAACAAACAAACAUAACAGUCUUUGAUGACUUAUGGAUGCAUAACAGAAAAUAAGAUGCCAUUGUUGGCUUUAUCCUCAAUAAUUUAGGUUUCAAUUACAUCAACAAAGUGGAGAUCCUUUGAUGCGAUUUUGGCCCCAUGAUGCAUGAGGAACUGUUGGGGAGGCAUAUGUUGGCACGAGAUGGCUAGCUGCAGAGUCCUUGCGACAAGUACCAUGUCAUGAUGGAGUUUGACAUAAUUUUGAGCCUUCGGAUGUAGAUGUCCAGCUUCAAAUUCAUUAUAUGGUCUUAACUCAAUUCUCAAAUUGUUUGUGUACAGGCUCUUAAUAGUGCAUGAUUGUAAAUUCUCUAGAAUCAUUAUAAUCAACCUAUACACCAACACAUAAUACUAAUUCGCUUCAAGUAAUAUUAGAGGAAAGGCAUAAUACUAAUUUGUAUGCUCACUCAAAAUAAGUUGGUUGAAUCGCUCUCAAAAUUCUAAAAUCAUAGAUAAUCUAGAUUCAUUGUCUAGAAAAUAUUCCAUACCAAAUGGUUUGUUCUCCCCAUUGAAAAAAGAAGACCAAUCUUGCUUUAAGAAAGCAAAAUUCAUGCAAGACAUGCUAGACUCCAACUUGACAUGAUUCGAUGGCUCUCUCUCUCUCUCUCUCUCUCUAAUUGGUUAAACCCCCUGAGUCGUUCCAUAUCCACACACAUUACAUGUUCCGUUCAUGCAUAUUUAGAUUCUCAACUUCUGUUAAUUCUUAGAACCUACAAUAUCUAAAACAUGAUUGAGGAAAGCAUUCGAAAUAGUAUGGACUAAAUUUAUAGUAACCAAUUAGUGCCAAACACAAUAGUUCAAAUAUGGUUCCGACAGUGUGCAAUAAACUUCAAAAUUUCACCCCAACGAAACCGUAAUCCUAAGUUGACUUCCAUAAAAUCUCAUAGUUUCAUGACCCCAAAAUUUCAUUACUACAUGAUUUCAUAGCUCAACAACCUCUAUAAUCAACCUUGCAACUUCAAACCCGAAUGGAAUUGAAAUUACAACUUAAUAUAGAAAAAAUUUCUUCCAUUAGGUUUAUUAAGUCUUUGGAUUCUUAUCAAGCGCUUCUUGUACGACAUUAAUCCAACGCAUUAAGAUGUACCCAGCGAACUUGAACCGAACCCUUUCUCUCUCUAGCGCGCAGUUCACUUCACUUUUCCAGCUUUCUUGAUUCUUCUCUCUCUCUUAACUAUUCCUCUUUUCUCUGAUAUGCCAACUACAACAAUUAUAACUUUCUUUGGAGCAACUUGCUUUUGCUGCGGGUUUGAGGGUUUAACGUCGUUGGGGGCUGGUCCGUUCAGUGGUUGCCGCUUUUGCUGCUGUGUGGAAUGCUGCCGGUUGCUGCUUCCCCUCACUGUCCCUUUUCCAUUCCUUUUUUGCCAUUGUUUGGCUGCCCUCUUUUUGCUGGUUGGCUGUUUCGCUGCCUUUGUUGGGCUGUUGUGGCUCUUUUUCUUGGGACCAUUCCACUUGUCUUGACAUGUAAGUCUUUAUGAGUGUAAGUUCUUUGGUGGCGAGAUCCAUCAGUUGUACAUUUUGUGGUUAAAAGUCAAUAUAAUUCUUACCUUACCAAAAGAAAAAAAAAACAAUUAUAACUAAGCUGAAGGAAGUUAGUCUGUCAGGCUUCAAAGGUGCAGCUCCAUGGGCGUAAUAAAUGAGAAUUAGGUCUCUUGAGCCUAAUUCCUUUAAAAAAAGAAAAAAGAAAAAAAGAAAGACUCUUUUGUUGCGGUAGCAACUAUUGUUAAAGUUUUAGAUACAGGAUGAGGGAAAAUUUUUGAAUGAACCCAAAGCAUGUGAGCCUAGCUCACAUCCACUAUUAAAUGAUGUGAGCUCCACAUUGAACCCAACUUUUCAUGGUGCUCGUGAGAAAUUGUAAAUCCCAGAAUUCAUUAUUUCCAUUGUGAAUAUAUCUAUAAAUUAAGUUAGUUUAGUCAUUAGGUAAUUUAAGGUGACCGGUUGUGAUGGUUAGUCCGGCUAGCAGCGCCAACUGCAACGGUGGUGAUAGGGUUGGAAUGAGUCAUCCUACGGAGGUGUUGACGACAAUAGCAUGCCAAUGGCCAUUGGAUGGGUGGCGCUCUCUAUGUGGCCAUACUCGUGAUUUUUCUUUUCCUUUUCAUUUUUUUCGCUUUUUUUUGUUCGCUUUUUUUUUUUUUUUGGCCUUUUUUCUUUUAUCAAAUUUCCAUGGAUGAAAACCUAGAGAUAAUUCUGAUAGACAAGUACAAUAGAGAUUAAUGAAUGAAAACCCCAAUAUGAUUAAACAUGAAAAUAAUUAACCGAAAAUUAUAGUAUUGUUAAUUUUACAUGUAACACAUGGAAAUUUCACUAGCAAUGGAAAAAGAGACAUUCACAUGGCAAUGAAUGAGAAAAGUGAAAAGUGAAGGAACAAAGCCAAUUUGAGUCCUGUAAAUUCUUGGUCUUCCUGCAAAUGAUUAAAGUUUCUCUCCUAUCAUCACUUUUUCGCAAAGUCUUGGUCUUUGUGGAAUCGAUUAAAGUUUCUCUUCCACCAUCACCUUUUUUCGCAAAGUCUCAGUCUAUCUGGAAUUGAUUAAAGUUUCUCUCCCAUUGUUACUUUUUCUUAAAAAGCUUCACUGUUGCUUCCUAAAUAUAACCGACAUAGACACGUGAUACACGACACGAUUUACCGACAUUUCAUUUUUCAAAAAACAAAAAAUUCCGACAUGUUGAAAUACGUUAUAUAUUAAAUAAAUAUUUUUUAUAUAUACAUAAUAAAUUAUUAUUUUUAUGAUAAAUUUACAAAUAGAUAAAUAAUAAAAAAAAAAAGCCUAAAAUGAGCUUACAAGUCCUCUAUCCCGCCUUGGCUACCGCGCCUUUUUGGCAAUUCAUUUGAACACACGUUCUUAGAACAAGAUAGAAAUUCUUUUACAUUUUCUUUUGAAGAUAAUUCAUAUAAUAAUAUAUUAAUCUAAUGAUUAAUAAAAAUUAAAAAUCUACUCUGACCAUCUCUCUCGUCCUCUUCUUGGGGUUUUCCAGACCAAGAAGCUUGCCCUCAACAAAUAACUGUGGACUUUAACCGUCAAGCGUUGCUUGUCGGGAGCCCCAAGUGAAAGCAAGGGAUGCCGUUCGUGGAACCUCACCAUGGUCGCGAUGGGCGAGGUCAAGAUUCCGACAACGGACUUCCAGAUCUGGAGGUGAGAUCGAGAUACGGUUGUGAUUGUGCUCCAUCUUCCCCGUUGUUGCCAUGGUUGCUGCAAAUCUAACUGUUUAGAUCGGAUCUGCAGUGGCGGAGGCAUUGGGUGGGGACUCACUAUUGGGCGCGGCGGCCAUGUGAGUCCUCCACCUCCCGCUUCUCCGCCUCCCUUAAGAACACCAACCCCCACCUCCCCUAUGGUGGCACAUGGCGGAAACUCUCAUAAUUACUUGAAUGCCCCUACGCGUGUUGGAAUCGCAUGUCGAAAUUUUGGACUCGCGUGUCGGAGUAUAUCAAGAAGAGUUGACCAUUUGUCGAAUUUUCCGACACUUAUUGACCACGUGUCGAAACAUGUCGAACAUGUGUUGGAGUGUCGGACACGACACAAAAGCUUUUGAAAAGUGUCGGUACUUCUUAAGUUACUUCACAUGUAUUGCGUGGAAAUUAUCUACUUUUGCUUCAGCUUUCCGUAAAAAAAAGCACAUGAUAUCCAGCAAAGUCUCGUGAAAUAUUCUCCAGAUAUUACGAAACAAGCACUUGUAGACAAAAAGUCUCUGGAAAUAUUCUCCGGAUAUUGCGAAACAAGCACUUGUAGACAAAAAGUAUCUUGCAUCUAUUUUCUCUAACCUCUGAUGCGCAUCUUUGAAAGUCUUGGUCUUGCUAAAGCUUAUAGUUUUCUCUCUCUACUAGCUCCUUAUCACUCAAACCUUGUUUUUUCUUCAGUGAUUCAUUCACCCAUGACCAUUGGAGAGAUCUUUUCGGGUUCCUUCUUGGCUUCCUUCUUAUACUAAUUUCUAGUAUUGUUAAUUUUAAGAACGGUUAAUAUCUUGAAAAAUUCCAAACUGGUACACAUGUGACAAAUUUACCUCAAAUUAUUUUUUUAAUCACCGAAAACUCUAAACUGAUAUACCUUUGAUAAAUUUAUCCCAAAUUAGUAUACUUAUAACAAUUUUACCCUAUGUUAGUUUUCGUUAAAUUUUAUUAUCAAAUUAUUAAGUUAAAUAAUAUGUGACAGUUGAUUGGUGUACCGAUUUGGGAUUUUACGCUCCAUUUGUCAAAGUUUACAAAUUUUGUAAUUUUUGUGGUAUUAAUUUAAUUUAGCGAAGGGUAUGUUUGUCACAAAUUUAUUAGUUUCGGGUUUUUUACGAUCGAAUAAAUUAGUUUGGGCUAAAUUUGUCAUAAAUGUACCAGUUUAAGAUUUGUUAUGAUUAGUUAGGGUAAAUUUGUUACAGGUGUACCAGUUUGGGCUUUUUCAUAGUCAAAAAAAUAAUUUAAGAUAAAUUUAUCGCAUGUGUACUAGUUUUGGAAUUUUUCAAUGUAUUAACCCUUUUAAGAAAGACGUGUAACGUGUGGAAAUUCUAUUAGUAAUGGAAAAAGCGACAUUCACAUAGAGACGGGAGAGGAGGGAUGUGAAAAGCGAAGCAACAAAGCCAACUUGCAUCCUGCAAAGACUUGGCCUUCUUGGAGUUGACUAAAGUUUCUAUCCCAUUGUCACUUUUUCCCUCUUGCCUCACUUUUUACACAAAAAAGUUGAUUCUCCAAAUCAAGACUUUUGGAUGUCGUCUAAAACAGAGGACCAUUUCUUUUGGCCAAAGCACAUGAUUUCGUUUUCUUUGUCAAACAUAUAAACUUACCCAUCUUUGGUGACUUGUAGAUGUAUACAAAAAAAACAUAAGAUGCCAUUGUUGGUUGUAUCCUCAAUAAUUUAGGUUUCAAAAACAUUGAUGUCGAUCUGACUUGAUUUCUACUAUUUACCUUGUAUAAUGUAGGAAAAAUAAACUUCAAAUAAUUAAAAUAUAUUUUUUUAAUUGAAAACUCAAGAUUUAGAAAAUAUUUUCAAAAAACUGAUUGAGUUUUUUGAUUUAUUGCUCACAAAAAUGAACAAAUCAAAUUUUUUCACCAUUUACCGAAAUAGGUAGGUAUAAAUUGAGGUUGGCAAUGAAAGAUAUCUUGUGUUGGUCAAUUUUUUUAAAUGAUGUAAAUUAUUUUUCGGAAAAUGUUAUCCAAAUCUUAAGUUUUUCACACUCUAGGUGCAUUUGGUAUGCUUCAUGGAUAAUUGUUUAGAUUUUUUUGUUCCCGAAAAUAGAAAUGGUAUAAAAAUGUAUUUGACAAAUUUUUUGUUCUUGAGAAUAAAUGUGUUCGCAUAACAUCUUUGAAACAGAAAUCAAACAAAAGAAAAAAGAAGUAACUAUUGCUCCAAGAACAAAAAUAAAAAAACGGAGUUAAUUCUCAUCCUUUUUAAAACUUCUUGGCAGACGUCUUUCUGUCUCUCUCACCUUUCUCUCUCGCGAAGUUUGUUUCUCCUCCACCUCCUCUUCGCAUCGUUCGCCGGAGAAGACAGAGUCGCGACACCUUUCCUCCUCCGUUGUUGCCGCAACUAGUCUUGAGAAACGGUAGGCGUCUCUCUCCUUGGCAAUUCUUGCUCUCUCUCUCUCUGGCGAUUCUCGCUUUGUUUUUCAUUGCUCCCCUUUGCCUUUUUUAUUUGGGUUUGAUUUGUCGCUCGAUUGAGCGAGAGGGUUAGUCGUAGAUCGUUUGCGUUUUGCUGUUCGUUCGAUUUCUUCCUGUCGUAGCUCGUCUCGUGUCGUUUUUGGAGGUGCUCUCACUUUCGCCAUUGACGUACGGACCACCGCUCGUGCUCUCGCUUCCCGUUCUUCUUAACAACGAAUCUGCAAUUUGGGUGUUCCCUGCAAUUCUUCUUUCCUCGUGGGUUUCUCCCCCUUUGCGGAAUCGAAGUAGUGGGUAAAAGGAAAAAUGAGAUUUUGGGGUCGAUGGUUCGUGUGUUUCACAAGUGUGGUAGAAGCGGUUGCUUGAGAAGAUUACCAGUGUCACAAAGCGGUGGGUUCUCAAAUAGUGCCGUCAAAUCCUCGAACAUUCUCGAACUCGCUCGAAAGGCUCCCCUUACCUUAUCUAUGCUUUUAUACCUGUCUGUCCCCAGCAGAGUUUUGGCUGGGCUUUUUCUCGAAUAUACGUUUUCCAGCAUCCAUUCUUGAAGUUUCAUCCCUUUCUAUUCUCUUGUACGAGGUUCUUUGAAUUGAAAGAUUUGAAGCAACGUAUUUUUGUUCACGGUUCUCUGGGUUCUAGCAAUUUCAUGAUAAGCUCUUCAUGUUUUGAUUGUUUUCAAUUUGCUUUGAGAUUUAUUAUGUGAUGAAUAAAAGUUGGGUUUUUGUUUUUUUUUUUUUUUUUUUUGGUGUUUUGCUUCUUUUUGUUGGGUGGUGGUGUUUCAGAAGCGCACCUGAAGUUCGGAUUUUGGAGUCGAAAGACCAGGAGAUAAAGUAGCAUUUUUUGACUCGAAGCAGGUAUGAUCAUGAAAACUUUCACCCGCAAUCAGACAUGCAAAGUUUUAAUUUUUGGAACUGUGUUGGUGGCUUAUUUGGAAAUGAGCAUGUAUAUGCGUGGAGUGGCCUCUUGUUACAACCUUUUUUAAUUUCUGUCUGUUUCAUCUUGAUUCUCCUGCUCCUUUCUUUAAAACCACACCGCCUCACUUUUUCUUCAUCCACCACCACCACCAUCAUCAUCAUUAAACUCACGCCCACAGACUUCACCCUCAUUCAAUUCAUUUAUUGCGUGCAUAUCGAUUGUCGCCAAUCACCACCAUCUCUAGUCGUCGCUCAACUAAUACCAUCGUUCGUCGUUGCAAGCAGCGACCACGCAUUGCCGUAGCUGAAUACGCACGCGUACAGUGAACUGCCAAACCUAGCACUCGUGCUUGCUGGAUUGCUGUUGUGGAUCUUAUCCCAUUCACCUGGUCAGCUCCAGGGAGUCUACUUGGAAUAGGUCAAAGACAUCUUUCUACUUGCUCUCUUUUUCCCUUGUGCUGAUGCAGCAAGUUUAAUAGCAAAAUUGGGGAAAGUUGAUGCCAGAUACUAGCUGGCCAGGUUAAAGUUGCAGCUUGAUUGCAUAAUUCAUGGUGAUUUGUUAAUUUUGUUUUAAUCAGGUGAUACAUCUGCACACAUAAUUGUUUGAGCCAAAACUCAGACCUUUAUUUUUUGAUUUUUCAUUACAUAUUAGCAUAGAAUUGCAUUAUAUCCAUAUCAGGACAAUUAUAUCAGAAAACUUAGAAUUUUCAUGGAAAAGCAUUAUCAUGCGCAUCUAGGCUUUUUGGAGUGCAUUAUUGUUAAUUCUCUUUUUUGCACAUUUCCUUUGAUAAAUCACAUGCUAUAACUUGGGAAAUUUGGGAAAAUCAUAUCUUGCAUAUUAAUAAAUUUAGAUUGCAUCUUCAUAAAAAACAAAACAAAACAAAAAUGUGAAGUGGAACUCUCCGCGAGUCACGAAGAGUAUUAUCGCCCCAUUCCUGCAUUUUUUUUUCUUCAUCAGUUUUUUGCUGUUUUUCUUAUUUAGUUUUUCUUCUUGCUUUUUUUCCAUUUAUUAGACUUAUAUUUGAAAAGAUAAAUGGAAAUCUAGACAUAAUUCCAAUAGACAAGUACAACAGAGAUUAAUGAAUGAUUAAUCACAAUAUGAUUAUUAAUGACAAAAGUUGGACUAAAAUUAUAGUUUUGUCAAUUUGAGCAAGAGAACAAUAAUCACUGCUAAUUGUCAAUCACACACAUAAACAAAUAAAAAUAAAAAUUGGCAUCCAUGUAACGCGUGGAAAACUACUAGUAAUGUAAAAAAGACAUUCACAUGGGAACGGAAGAGGAGGGAUUUGAAAAGUGAAGCGACAAAUCCAAUUUGCAUCACCGUAAGUCUUAGUCUUCUUCGAUUUUAUUAAAUUUUCUUUCCCAUAAGCUCUUUAUCAGUUAUACUUCACUUUCAUGACAAAAAAGUUCAUGAUACCCAGUGAAGGUUUGGUCUUCCCAAGUUUAUGAUUUUUUUAUAUGAACAAGUAUAUGAUCGUGGAUACUACAUAUGUAUGGGGAUAAUCUCUAAAUAUUACAGAACAAGCACUUGUGAAGAAAAGAAAAAGAAGAAAAAGUUGCAGCAAGAUGGGCGGCAAUAUCUGCUGAAAGGUGAUGGGUUAGUAGUUGAUGAUGGGGAAUCGCUUGAAACGAGAAUCAUGGUCCUUUGAGCACGUGUUUCUAUUCUCCUUAUCCACUGUAAAUGGUAAACGAGUCCAGUAUUAACAACAUAUAAUUUACCGGAUGUCACACUCUACCCAUUACACUAAUGAACUUGAUAAUCGUGUUCAAAGGAUCGCGAUUCUCCUAUCAAGGUGAUUCAUGAUUAUCAACCACUACCUCAACACACUUCAACAAAUCAUUAUCACCGAUCUUGCUAUGAAUCUUUCGCAUAGAAACUCCCAUGUAAAAGACUUCAUUAAUCUCAUAUUCACCAAUAAAGCAUAAAACAAUGACAUUGAAAUCAUGAGGUUACUAAGAAUAUACAAACGCUAAAAAAGCCAACAAAACACUCGUGAGUGAUAACACUUAUGGCGAAAAUAUGCAUACACUCUAAGUUCGUCACAUUAAGACUCUGUUUUGGAUGGCCAAAAGUAAAGAUCCAAUAGCCAAAAAGUCUUGAUCCGAAGAAUAAAGAGAGUAAUUGAUGUAACUAGCACUUGUGGACAAAUAGUAUUUAUUUUGAUUUGUCUAACCUUUGAUGUGCAUCCCUUGAAAGUCUUGGUCUUUUUUUUUUUAAAUCUUUUUCGUAGGUCAUCAUCUCAGUGUUCCCAGGACUUCAUAGUUUUCUCUCUCCAUUAGUUCAUUUUCACUUUGCUUCACCAUAACACCUUUCUUGUUCAUUACAGUGACCGAUUCACCUAUGGACAUUGGAGGGAUCGUGUUGGGUUCCUUUUUGGCUUCAUCCUUUCAGGUCCUGUUCGACAAGUUGGCUUCUUCCGCAUUAAGUUAUGCACAACAUAAAGGAAUCAGCACUACCUUGCCUAAGGUGUGGAAGGAGAAGCUAGUCAUAAUCAAUGCAGUGUUGGCUGAUGCGGAGGACAGGGAACUUAGUGGUAACCAUCAAGUGAAGCUGUGGCUGGACAAGGUUAAGGACUUGGCCUAUGACAUGGAAGACUUGCUCGAUGAGUUUGAGAUCAAAGCUGCUCAAGUUGAGUCAGAGGCAGAAUCCAGCACAAGCAAAGGUUUGGGGAAAUGGAAGUUCUCUGUAUUUGGCCGACCACCCUCGCUCAUGUCUGAAACCAAGGUACAAGAGAUCAAUGACCGUUUGGAAGAGGUUGUCACUGGAAAGGUUCAUUUAAACUUGAGAGAGAAUGUUGUGGACAAAUCCAACUAUACCAGUAAAAGGAUAACCACUUCUCUAUCAGAGCCUCAAUUUUUUGGUAGGGAGGAGGAUGUAGAACAAAUACUCGAACUAUUGAUCAAUGAGGUCAAAAAUUCUAAUGCCACGCUAAACAUAGUCCCCAUAGUUGGGAUGGGUGGUAUUGGAAAGACUGCCUUGGCUCAACAGCUAUAUAAUGAUGCAAGAGUGAAUAGAUGUUUUGAGAUGAGAGCAUGGGUUUGUGUUUCAGAUGUUUUUGAUGUUCUCGACAUAACAAAGACUAUUUUACGGUCAAUCACUAGGUUGCCCUGUGAGGGCAAAGAUCUAAACGAGUUUCAAGUUAAGUUGAGGGACAAUCUUUUCGGAAAGAAGUUUCUUGUGGUUCUAGACGAUAUCUGGAAUGAGAAGUACGAAAAAUGGACUGAUCUCUUAAAGCCAUUUGUAGUGGGUGCUAGGGGAAGCAAGAUUAUUAUUACGACUCGCAACCAUGCUGUUGUUUCAGUAACAAAAGCACCGCCAAUUCCGUUGAAGGAAUUGUCCCUCAAUGAUUGUACAAGCUUAUUGGCCUUUCAUGCUCUUGAAGCAACAAAUUUUAAGAGCCACCCGGAAUUUGAAACAAUAGGCAAGAAAAUAGCUAAAAGAUGUAAAGGUUUACCUUUGGCAGCGAAGAUGUUUGGUGGUGUCCUACGACAUAAAAUGAAUCCCAGUGAAUGGGAAGAUACCUUAAAUAACAUAAUAUGGGAUCUUCCAACGACAAAGAAUGAUGAGGUUCUCCCUAUUUUGAAAUUGAGCUACGUCCAUCUUCCUUCCUAUUUGAAGAGAUGCUUUUCUUAUUGUGCAGUAUUUCCUAAGGAUUACGAAAUUGAGAGGGAUGAGCUAGUACUCUUAUGGAUAGCGGAGGGAUUUUUAGAUGGACAAAAAACAAAGAAAANNNNNNNNNNNNNNNNNNNNNNNNNNNNNNNNNNNNNNNNNNNNNNNNNNNNNNNNNNNNNNNNNNNNNNNNNNNNNNNNNNNNNNNNNNNNNNNNNNNNAUGCAUGAUCUUUUGAAUGAUCUAGCAAAGUCAAUUGAGGGUGGGAUAUGCUUUAGCUCUGGGAGUCUCUACCGGCAAUUAAUGAAGAUUAUGCAUCUUUGGAGAGAGCUCGUUAUGCAUCAUUCAUCCGGUCGCGGUUUGUUACAUCAAAAUGCUUGUGGGCAUAUCAUGAUAUGAAGGUAUUAAGAAGUUUAAUUUUGGUGCGUAUUGGAUCUAGUGGGAACUGUCUCCUUAUAUCCGACAAGGUGCUACAUGAGUUGCUAACAAACUUGAAGUUUCUAAGGGUUUUUUCAUUAUGUCAUUGUAACAUCGUAGAGGUACCAAAUUGUGUUCAUGAAUUAAAACAUCUUCGAUACCUCAAUUUCUCGAACACUUAUAUCGAAAGGCUACCUGAGACUAUUGGCAACUUGUGCAAAUUACAAGCUUUGAUCUUAAGAGAUUGUCAUAAACUUUCAAAGUUGCCUAACAGUAUCACAAAGUUGGUCAGCUUACAGUUUCUUGAUGUUAGAGAUACAAAAAGUCUAAAAGAGAUGCCACUGGGUAUCGGUAAUUUGAAGAAUCUUACUAUAUUGUCCAAGUUUAUGGUAGGAACAAAGAAAUGGUUACAAUUAAAGGAGUUAAAGACCCUAUCGCAUCUUCAAGGAGAAUUAUGCAUAUCAAAAUUACAAAAGGUGGAAGAUGUUAGAGAUGCCGUUGUUGCUAAUUUGUCAGGAAAGCAAGGCCUAAGAAAAUUAUCCUUGCAUUGGGAUGAAGAUUUUGGAAUUUUUAGGAAUGAUAAGCACGAAUCACAGGUGCUUGAGUCUUUGCGACCUCCCAUUGAUAUUGAAAAUCUCACUAUUUUGAACUAUGGCGGUGCAAUAUUCCCAUCAUGGUUAGAUGGUUCAUCAUAUUCUCGGAUAGUGUCUUUGAGCUUGUGGAAUUGUCCUUAUGUCACAUCGUUGCCUUCACUUGGACAACUCCCUUCAUUGAGAGAAUUAUCUCUUAAAGGUCUAAAUGCAGUAAGAAUAAUAGGCUCUAAUUUUUACGGAGGUGAUAGGCCUUUUUCGUCCUUAAUUACUUUGCAAUUCGAAGAGAUGUUGGCAUGGAAGGAUUGGUCUCCUUAUGUGGGGGGCCCAAAAGAAGAAGUCCCAUUCUCUUGUCUUGAGCAUCUUGUUGUCCGGGGAUGUCCUUCGUUGGUCGGGACAUUGCCUUGUCAACUUGAUCAUCUUAUAAAGCUUGAAAUUCAUUCAUGCCAACAAUUGAAUAACUCAACCAGUGAGUUAUGUCUUCCAUCUCUCGAAGAGUUACACCUUGAGGAUUGUAGUAAGGAGAUCUUGAAGAGCUUGUUCAAGCUAACUUCUUUGACAAUUCUCAAAAUUAACAAACUCAUAGAGCUUGUUUCCUUUGAUCAUUGGUUUAUGAGUUGCUUGGGCAAGCUAAGGAAGCUUCAUAUAGGACUGUGUGACAAGCUAACAUGCUUGUGGCAAGAUGGAGAUGAAACACAAAAUCUCACUUGCCUCCAGGAAUUAGUAAUAAAAAAUUGUCCUCAAUUCACAUCUUUUGUGGCAGGAGACGGAGAGAUAGAGCUACCCUGUAAUCUUGAAAGGAUGGAAUUGGUGGAUUGCACAAGUCUAGAAAAGCUUCCAAGUAAGAUGCACACACUUAGACAUUUGGUGAUUGAGAAUUGUCCAAAAACCAUGGCUCUAAACAUUCCUCAAGGUGACCCGAGCAGCAAUAAUUCGAUUUCUCAACUUGAAUCUCUUAAGAUAUGUUGCUGUGAUUCUCCGAUAUCCUUUUCAUUUGCCAAGGGUAGACUUGCUCCUCUGAAGGCACUUCAUAUAGACAAUUGUAAGGGAGUGGAGUCAUUGGAAGGGAUUGCCGUAGAAUCGCUUGAAACAAUGACAAUUAACUAUUGUCAAAAUCUGGGAAGCUUACCACAGUGCCUUCACAUGCUCUCCCAUCUCACUCGAUUGAAUAUUCAUAAUUGUCCAGCACUGGAGAUAGAGGACUUCCCUCCCCUUCCCGUCACCCUCUCGAGUCUUGAUCUUAGUUCUUGUUCUAAGAUAAAGUCUAUUGCCAACUGUAACAUUGCCAACUGUAACAAUCUCACUAAAUUGAAAAUAAAGAAGUGUCCGGUAUUGGAGAUAGAGGACUUCCCACCCCUUCCCAUCACCCUGCAGAGUCUUGAACUUUGGUAUUGUCCGAUGAUAAAGUCCCUGCCAAAUAAGUGGCAUCAUCUUACCUCCCUCCAAGAGCUAAGAAUUUACUAUUGCGAAAAUAUCAAAUGCUUCCCUAAAGGAGGUCCGCCUCCCAAAUUGCGAGACCUUGCAAUUAUGGGGCUCGUGGCUCUGAAGCACCCAGUGAGAGAGUGGGGCUUACCCCUACUCACAUCUCUCGAGAGUCUGACCGUUGCGUUUAACAUGGGAGGGGAGGGAGAGAAGGAGUGGUUUCCUUUGGAGGAUAAGGAUGCUUGGAGUCGCUUUCCUUCCUCUCUAACCUAUCUUUGGAUAUAUGGUUUGAGAAACACAGAAAGACUAUCGAGCGGUCUCCGCAACCAUCUCUCCUCUCUCCGAUGGUUAUCUAUUAAGGAUUGCCCCAAGUUGAGGUACUUGCCAGAGGAUGGCUUCCCUCCCUCCCUCCAACAAUUGAAAAUAUGGAGAUCCAAGAUUCUGGAAGAGCGAUGCGCAAAACUCACUGGCGACUAUUGGCCCCUCAUCGAAGAGAUCCCUUCCAUCAUCGUUGAUCACAAACAGAUCUAAUGAAUUGAUUCGUGCAUCUACACUACAAUGAGUUUUCUUAGGGUUCGAGUAAGUUAUUUUUGGUUUUGAAGGCAUCCUUUUCCAUUCUACUUUCUCAAUUCGAUGCUCAAUACGAACUGAUGUUUGGGUGGGGGAUUGCGUUGGGUUGGAUUGGCUCUAUUUCGUUGGACGAUGAACUGUAGGAUGAAACGCUCGCAGUGCUGCCUCUUGCUAUGUUGACGACAUAUCCUCAUUUAUGCUCGAUGCCCAAACCAUUUGUGAAUGAAAUCGCACCAUCACGAAGAAUCGUAGCAUUCCACAAUCAUAGUCCUCUGCAUUUUCAGCGUCUAUUGUCUGUUCUCUUCCCAACAUAUUUUUUCUUGGGCCCUUAAGCUCAUUCACUCUGCUUGUUUUGCAGAUACCAUUGUGAUCUUGCAUUGGCAGAAUCUCUUGGAAUGAUCACGUGCGAACGCUUCUAAGGUAGGGCUAAUGCUGUUGGUGUCAUUGUCUUGCUUCAUUUUUUUUUUCUUUUGCAAUUUAUCAAUAAAGGAAGAAGCAAUNNNNNNNNNNNNNNNNNNNNNNNNNNNNNNNNNNNNNNNNNNNNNNNNNNNNNNNNNNNNNNNNNNNNNNNNNNNNNNNNNNNNNNNNNNNNNNNNNNNNUGAUGUGAUUGUGAAGAAAUGGAUGCGGUUUUUUCAUUUUAUGGAUUUCUUAAGAAUAGGAACCUUCUUCUUCCUUUUUUAUGAUGAUUCUUUGUAGUAUUAAACAGUCAAUCUGGGAUAAAAUUCCGAGGCAGCUCAUGGCUCCAAGCUUUCACGUGACAGCAUUGAUAUUCCAUAAAUCGCUUUCUAGUUGGGUCUCGAAUUCUGGUGGUUUAGGAACUGUUGCUCACAGCUUGCUAGAAAUUUUUAGCAAAUAUACUUAUGCUUGUUGGGUUGAGAUUGUUGUGAUAGGCUGCCUACCUUCGGGUUUCCAUCAUCAGCGGUGACCAUGUGGCAUUCUUCCCAAAAGGAGUUCCAGAACAAAAUGUUCGAGCUGACAUGGGUUCAUUUGGAGUAACUGGAAAUCUUGUGAUUCAACCAAUUUGUAUCUUGCCUGGUAUAUCUCCUCUCUCUGUGCUAGUGUUGCAUGUAUAAAUUUUUUGUUGAAGCAAUGUUCUUAUGACAUUGUGAAGCUCUGUUAAAAGUUAGAUAAUUUGUAAUCUGAAUUGUGGUUCACUGUGUACUUUCUCCAAGGCUUUCUGGAUGUUAUUGCACAUAUAACAUGGUGCUUUGACCACAUAAAUAGGUGGUUAGAAAAGCAAAGUUACAUUUGCCAAGAUAACUUUCAAGCAACCUCACAUAGUUUUGCUUGACGACCCAUCCUAUCAUUUGGUAAGUUCUACUCAUAUUUCUCCAUUUUAUGACUUUGAUUACUUUUUCAGUUAGCUUGUUAUUGUUCUUGCACUAAUUGAACUUGUCGGAAUCUGGUUUUUACAUUAAAAAUAUAGUAGAACCAAAUGGUGGUCAUAGCUACUGGUAGCCCUCGUCAUCAUACAUCUAGCAAAUAAUGGAACAGACACCAAUCUAAUUGUUCCAAUGUGGAAAAUAUUCAGAAUAGAGCAAUCUACAAUACCAAAUGGUACUGAUCUUUAUGCCUAUAGGCAGUAUUGGGCUUUACAUACAAAUAUGUGGACCCCUUUUUGUUUGUAAAUCCGGUCUUUAAGUUUUGCUUUAAUGACCAGUGACUAAAGAAUUAUCUUUGUAAAUUGUUAGUUUCUUGUCUAAUGAUUAGUGUUUUUGUUUUUUUUUCCCUAUCCACACCUGUAGGAUUUGGAUGUGGCUGAGGCGCUCAUUCAAGGUCUGGUCUUGUUCCAAGGAUUAAUUCUGAUGGUGAGAUUGAUUUCCUUGUCAAAAUACUUCAAUUUGACCAAUGAUGGAUCAUUUCACAGCUAAUAGCCCUCUUUUCACCUUGAUUUGCAGGUUGGUCAUGAUGAGCAUCUAAUAGCUAGAAGCUUGGAUGAGGUCUGGGUGGUUUCACAAGGCAAGGUGGCACCUCUCCAUGGGAAUUUCUAGGACUAUAGGAAUGUACUCCUAUUUUUAUUGAAUCAGGUGAAUCUAGUUAUUGCCAUCCACUAAGAGUGGUUCAGUGGGUUCACAUUACCUCACAAAACAAAAAAUGAGGCUUAGCUACAUAGAGAAAGCAAAAAAGGAUGAAGAGAGGAUUGAUGCUGAUAUACAGGACGGACUCACAGUUACACCAGCCCUCAUUUGUCAUUUAUACUUGACAAGGGCUUGUGGAACGAUGAGUCUAAGUUUUUGACAGCAUACAGUAUCAUUUGCAAUAGCUUAAGAACUGAGUUGUGAUUGUAAUCUUGGUAUAAUUUAUGAUUCUUUGCACAUUUUGUUAUAGCAAUAGGUUCAUUUGUUGUGCCCCUGGAAGUUUGAUGCUCUAUUGCCACCGAAGUCAGUUUUCUCAUGCACACUAAAAUGAUUUAAUCAUUCGCAAAAGAAUAUUUUAGCACAGUAAAUUAUUUUGUAAGACAAAUCUAUUUUGUGAGAAAGCUAUAUCAAUAUAUUUUCCCCAUUUUCACUAUUUUGCACUAUUUUGGAGAAUUAAUUAUGAAAAUAUUAUCAUGGCCAACAAAACCCAUUCUUAGGAUGUAGGCAAGCUCUACCACUGAAAGUCAAAGACUGACAUUUGAGCGGGAUUUCUUGUUGGGUUGGAUCAGCUCUGUUUCGUUGGACAAUAAACUUUAGGUCGAAAUUCACUCAGUGUUGCCUCUUGCUAUAUUGAUGGCAUAUCUUCAACUCUACUUGAUGCUUAAACAAACUUUGAAGAAAGAUGCACUAUCACGAAGAAUUAUAGCGUUCCACAAUCAUAUGUCUUUGCAUUUUCAGCGUUUCUUGUAUGUUCUCUUCCCACCAUCUUUUUCUUGUGUCCUAGCUCAUUCAUUGUUUUUUUUUUCAAUGGUUUUCUUUAGAAUUGAGAACCCUUUUUUAUUUUUUUUAUUUUUAUUGAUGAUGAUCCUUUGUAGUAUUAAGCAAUCUAUUUGGGACACAUUUCUGGGGCAGCUUAUUGCUCCAAGCUUUUAAUACAACUCCAUCAUGAUAGCAUUGAUAUUCCAUAGAUCACCAUUCUGUUUGUGUUUACAGCUUGCUAGAAAUUUUUAGCCUAUAUACUCGUGCUUAUUUGGUUGAGAUUGUAACGAUAUGUUGCCUGCCUUUGUGUUUGCAUUAUUAGCAGUGACCUCUGGGGCAAAUCUAUUCAGGUCUUUAAAGUAUUGGUUGUUUGCAUUUACUCCAUUGCGGAAUAUGAUUUUGUUAUACAUCAUGUCGUUUUAUCUGCAAAUGCCUUCUUAUGUAGCAUUCUUCUUGCAGGGAUUUUCAAUCGAAAAGCUUCGAGCUCACUUGUGUUCCUUUGGUGUAAUUGGACAUCUUGCACUUCAACCAAUGUAUAAUACCUUUAUGAUACAUCGCCUCCCUCUCCGCUACCGUUGCAUAUGUAAAUUAUUUUUGAAGCAAUUGUUUUAUGACAUUGUGAAGCCCUAAUAGAGGUUAGUCAAUUUGCAAGUAGUUCACUGUGUACUACUCUGAGGCUUUUGGGAUGUUAUUGCAUAUGUAACAUGGUGCUUUGACCAUAUAAAUAGGUGCGCAGAAAGGCAAAGUUGCAUUUGCCAAGAUAACUUUGAAAAAGCCUCACAUAGUUUUGCUUGAUGAGCCAUCCAAUCAUCUGGUAAGUCUGCUCUUUUUGUCCACCUUAUGACUCCAAAUACUUUUCAUUUAGCCUGUUGUUGUUCUUGCACUAAUUGAACUUAUUGGAAUCUGAUGUUACAUUGAAAAUACAAGAGAAUCAAUUAGUGAUAACAACUAUAGAGAGCCUCUGUUCUGUCAUCAUAUAUCUAACUUAUAAUGGAACAGAAACCAAUCUAAUCAUUUCAACUUGGAAAAUAUUUGGACUAGAAUAGUUAGCCUGAUCAGUUUUUUUGUAUUGGAGUAAUCUGUAAUACCAAAGAGUUCUGGUAUCUGUGCCUGUAGGUAGUAUUGGGCUCUGUUUAUAAAUGUGGUCUUUAAGCUCUGCUUUAAUGAGUAGUGACUACUGAAGAAUUAUCUUUGUAAAUUGUUAGUUUCUUGUCCAAGGAUGAGUGAGUGCGACUUUGCUGUUUUGCCUAUCCACAACUGGAGGAUUUGGAUGUGGCUGAGGUGCUCAUUCAAGGUCUAGUCUUGUUCUAAGGAGCAAUUGAGAUGGUGAGAUUGAUUUUGUUGUCAAAAUGCUUCAAUUUGACCAACCAUGGAUCAUUUUCACAGCUAAUAGCCCUCCUUUCACCUUGAUUUGCAGCUUAGUCACAAUAAGCAUCUAAUAGCUGGAACCUCAAAUGAGGUCUGGGUGAUUCCAUAAGGCAAGGUGGCGCCUAUCCAUGGGAAUUUUCAGGACUAUAGGAAGGUACUCAAGUUUUUGUUAUAUCAGGUGAAUCUAGUUAUUACCAUCAACUGAGAGUGGUUCAUUGGGUUCCCAUUACCUUACAAAACUGAAAAUGAGGCUUAGCUACAUCGAGAAAGCCAAAAAAAGAUGAAGAGAGGAUUGCUGCUAAUGUAUAGGAUAGACUCACUAUUACCCCGGCCCUCGUUUGUCAUACAUACUUGAUAAGGACUCGUGGAAGGAUGAAUCGAAGUUUUGACAUUGAGUGUGCACUAUCAUUAGCAAUAGCUUAAAAACUGAGUUGGGAUUGUAUUCCUGGUAUAAUUUAUGCUUUCUUGUGCAUUUUGUUCUAGCAAUAGGUUCAUUUGUUGUGCCCCUAGAAGUUUGACACUCUGUCGCCAUGGAAGUCAGCUUUCCCAUACAUAGUAAAAUGAUUUAAUCAUUUGCAAAAGAAUCUUUUUAGCAAAAUAAAUUAUUUUGUAGGACAAUCUAUUUUUAUAUGAAUAUAUUUUCCCUAUUUUCAUUCUUUGCACUGUUCAGGAGAAUUAAUUAUGAAAAUAUUAUCACGGUCGACAAAACUUUAUAUUCAACUCUAAGUACAGAAUUGCGUUGACUAAUUAUAAUGUAGGCCUUGCGUAGCCAAAAAAUACUAUAAUGAAAUUCCAUAUAAAUACUUGGAUUUGUUAGAUAAUAUCCUUUUAACAUGUUCAGGUCAUCACUGAAAAUGAGAAGCUUUCUUUCUCCCAAUUGCUACGGUGUAGAUGGACAAACGGAACUGAUAGCAGAGGUUUGAGUAAGCGAAUGUGACAGCUAAAUUCUGAAUGAGUCCUGCAAGUCAAAACAUGUUAGUAAACUAGUUGCCCGGUCAAAGAUUGAAUUUCAUUUUCCUUUUAUUCAAAUACCCACUCCACUCCAUCUCUUGACAACAUUUAUAGAGGUCCUACAUAUUAUAUUUCCUGUGCAGGACGGGGAACGGGAGGGAGGAUGUUUCUUUGAGGACUUGCGUCUGCUAUGAGAUAUUCUGAUUCCAAGAAGAUCGUCACUUAGCACCACUCAUGAUUAACUCCUUGAAGCGCGCAAGCCCCACCACAUUUACUCCCAUCGAGGUGCUGAAGAUCCAGUACCAUUCACACGUGACAAGAUACACGCACUACCAUUGCAAAUGGUUUCAAUCUCGUGAGCUCACAUGUUGAAGAUAUACCUUGAAUUCAGGCAAAUUAAGGGAAUUUGAUCCAAAAAGGAAAUAUGCUGCUAUGGCUUCCAUGAUAUACAAUAUUGAGGAAUACUGUUACAUGAGUUCUACUAUUGGACACUUCUGUUACAUUAUAAAGUUAUUGCCUGCUAUAUGAGGUUUUUGCCAUGACAAUCAUUUCCAUGUUGAGAAGCGAAACUGUUUUUCUACUCCUUUAUCGUCAGACCCUGCUUGAGACACUGUCUCACGAACUACUUUUUAGCAGAGACUUUUGAUCUGGAGCUGCUGCGAAUUGAGCUUGAUGUUGACAUUUGUGGAGGAAAAAUUGAGGUUGUUCUGGUAGUCUGUGGCUUUGACCGAGUAGGUUCUGCAGCAAACCAUAACGGCUUCUUCAUUUGCGAAUUGAGGGGUAAAUUUUGCCCACCAUUUAAUUUUUUAGUUGUCUUUCGGGAAUAGGACACUCACGGUCUACUGGACAAGAUCUAACAUGCGAACAAUUAUUUUCAGGUCUGAAAAUAUCUGACAUGUGAAGAUGAAGAGGUUCUUGAAGAGGCUUAAUUGUUACAGAAAAUCAUUUCUCCGUGUAUGGUGCUUGAUUCUCUUAAUUGUUACAGAAGAUCUUUUCUCCGUGUAUGGAGCUUGAUUAUUCUUUUUUAGAGACUUGAAAUUUUUGGCUCGGUAUUUCAGUAGGAUCCUUGACAUUGGUUAUGAGUAAUUUCGAUAGAGUUUGUAUAAACGAGAAUGAACUCUUAAAAAAGUUUUGGUUAUAAGAUGAUUUGCAAUAUAAUGAAUAUCCGGAGGGAUGUCACCCUGCAUUAUUUUAUGAUUGAUCUUUGAAAAGGUCUUCUUCUAGUAUUCUGUUUGUUUUGAGAGACAUUUUAACAAAAAAAAAAUGUUGUUUUCAUUUUUCGCUAUUUAGUAUGAUAAAAAAAAGCCGGUCAAAGGAACUUACUUUACUCAAUCAGAAAAUCAAAUAAAAAAAUAAUUUUUUUAACUUAAAAAGUUGAGUACGAAAAUAGUAUGGAGGAAUAUCUACACGGGAAAAGAGGUCUGACGUGUCGUUCUGCUGCGGUCCUUCAUCCACCACAUAUUUCAAAAAAUGCAAAACCAAGAAACUAGCGACUAGCAAUCGUUUUUAUGAUAUAUUCAGAAAGUUUGGCACAAGAUUGUAAGAUGAACUAUUUGAGGGGGAAAAAAGAGUAGUCCCUCUAAUUUGCUGGUACAAUAUAGUGGUGUUUUCUUGAUUUAGAUUGUUGGGAUCACCACUCAAAUGACUUUCAUUUUAGUUAUUACACAGAUUUUCUUUUGAUUGAUUAGUUUGACACCAAUUUUUUUUUUUUGGGUCGAAAAUUUGACGCGGUAUUGAUUUGGGCUCCUUUUUAAGUAACUGGAAAUUUUGCAGUUCAACCAAUGCAUACCUCGUCUGGUACAUCUCCUCCCUCUCUACUACCGUUACGUAUAAUUUUGUUUCUCUGAUAACUUUUAUAGCUGUUUAUUAUAUAUGAAAGAUAGUUUUAAUUAAUUGUUCCUUUGUGGAUUUUUUAAAUUUUCUUAUGUUCAUCUCGCACCUUAUGUUGUUUUUCUUGUUGAAGAGUCUCCGAUACAAAUGACGGCAUUAUUCAGAUUGUGUUGGUUGAUAAUGAUGGCAAUUAGCAAAAGCCAGGAAAUUAAAGAAAAAUUAGGGGCUUUUACUUUGUUUUUCAAUACAUAUAUAUUUUGUGACUGAAUAAUUUUGGAGUUGGUUAUUAAUUGAAGCAAGAAAUUCUCAACUAGCACCAAGAUGAAAAAAAAAAAAUGCCAACUUCCUCACAUUUUGUAUGACAGGACAAAAAUUUUCUUAUCUAGAAAAUAAAAAACCAGGGGAAGUAUAGAUUGUCCAUUGAAAAUUAGUCUUUUCAAUUAAUUGGCUCCUUGAAAUUUAUUUUAUAUCAUUACACCGUUAACUUUCACAAUAGGCAUCAUUUUAUCCAAACUCCUUUGGAAUGGUGUCUUUAUACAUUUAGAAUGUUGUAUGAUACGAUAUGUGGAUUGUGAGCCCGAUAGAAUUAGACCUGAAUAAAGUAUUUUGUAUCAUAAGCAUACAAAGUAACAGCACAAAAACAAUGUGCAGCCAAGCAGGAAAUUCUCAACUAGGAAUAUCGCAUCGGCUUCUUCUGCCUUCAGACGUAACCCUUCCAGUUCCUUCCAUGGCGAAAUGCUUUAUGAGUCCCGCCUAUGGCUCUGCGGUUCUGGUCUCAAUUCGUCUUGAAUUUACUUUAUUCAGAUGAAGUUUCUCAAUUUAAACUGGUGCCAAUCGUAGCAAAAAGCCUCCCUUGACGACUUCAUUAUCGUUCGUUUUUGUCACUGCCUCCACCUUCGGUUUCUAUCACUUUCGUUCUCCGACGGAGGAGAAUAGUCGUGACUGAAACUAAGAUAGAACUCGGAUUCUUCGCUUCGAGCUCUUCAUCAUUCGGUUACUGCUACAAUAUUGAAGAUAACUUCUCUCUCGUUCUCUGGAUUUCAUUUUUCAAUUCGAGCAACAGCAUUGAUUGUCGGCCCUUUUCUGAAUCUCCAGUGGCUUCCUUAUCGACUUUCCCUCACUAUCGCCCUCCGGACACCGUUGGCAUACACCCGUCGUCGCCGUCCGAAGCUCUGUUCGCCCCUGGUCUCAGACAUCAUUGCUGAAGUGCUCGAACUGCAGUCAGCAUGUCUCUCAUGACGAUUCCAGUCACAAAGCUGCUUCCACGAUCACCUUACUAAGGUCAGAUCAAGACUAGCCACAGGUAAUCAUCCUCUAUCCUAUCAAAUCACGUAUGCUCUGUUCCCUGGUGUUCUACGUACAAAUCGCUGCCUGGGUAAAAAUCAAUUAUGACUGCGCCUGUGUUAAUGUUUUGAACUUGCUACGUUGCUUUGUGAUGAUCUCGUUCACAUACAUGUACCAUGUUGACAUGCGUAUUUGAUUUUCAUACCUGAUUGUGUAGUGCGUGCUUGAUCUGAGACAUUUACAGUAUGUUUGUCGACUUACUUUUGUCAAUUGGUUCAAUGCAGGUAUGCAAAACAUCGAGUCUCGAAACGUUGUGCCCAUCAACGAACCUGCAUUUGGAUUUGCUGGAACUAGCUUAUACACGACUGGUAAUGUUUAGCUCAUCGAUAUGGUGUUGGGUUUGUUUACUUACUUUUCUCUGCUAAAUCCUACCUGCGAGAUGUUUCGCGUGUGUAUGCCAUUUUAGAACUGAACAUCUCAAUGGAUUGCAGAGUAUAUAAUGGUCGUAGUUUGUCUGCCGCUUCGUCUGUUGAUCAUGUGGCCACGGGAAAUCCACUCUUACAGAUUCAAGCAGUAUGCAGAAAGCUUCACUAGGUGGCCAUUGUAAGCUCGAUGAAAGUGCUCCCAGAAGCCCUGAUAAAACCAAGUAAUGAUCUUCUUCUGUAACCAGAAAUGGACGGAGUCACAGCAACGACCAUCUAGUUCGUGAAUAAUACCCUUAGAAAUGAAAAAUAGAUACAAGAGAAUCUUCUCAAGUAUUAAGGAAAGUACAGAGGCAUAAAAACUAUCAGAGGAAAUGGUCACGAGUUUCUAUCUUCAGACUGCUGGAACAUACAAAUUGAAUGCUCUCAAAGGAGAUCUGAUUUUUCAUUAAAAAUCCUUCAAAUACAACGACAUACCUCUGAAGGAUCGAUCUAGAUGUCAAUCAUCUUUCGAAUAAAAAUGCAGCUGAGUCUUGAAAGGCCCAAGACACCUUGAACAAAUAGACCAUCGCAACUGCAACAUUGUCUGGGGACAAGUCGACCCCAAAAAACUUACUGAACUUUUAUAGCUUUUUUCUUCGCGAAAAACAUUUUUAUCCUCUCUCUCUCUCUCUCUCGCUCUCUGUGGCGCUCGCGGAGGAUUUGCGUUUUCUCUCUCUAGCGCUCUAAAGCUUCAAACGAAGACGAGCUCAGGGAAACGGGAUCGAUUCUCCCUCUCCCGCCCGAAGCUCCAUCUCCGUGGUUCAAGUUUCACCGGAGGUUAUUCAUAGCCGAUUCUAGUAUUCUGCCAUCUCCGCCGCCUCGUAUUGGCUUCUCCGGCCUUCAGACGUAACUCUUUCAGUUCCUUCCAUGGCGAAAUGCUUUCUGGGUUGGGCCAACAUACUGCGGUUCCCGUCUCGAUUCAUCUUGAAUUUACUGCAUUUACUUGAAGCUUCUCAACCUCACUUGAACUGGAGCCAACCGUAGCCAAGCGCCUCCCUCGCUCGACGACUUCAUUAUCGUUCGUUUUUGUCACUGCCUCCUCCUUCGGUUUCUAGCAUCUUCGUUCUCCGACGGAGGAGAAUAGCCUUGACUGAAAGUCGAUGAGAAUUGGAUUGUUCACUUCGAGCUCUUCAUCAUUCGGUUACUGCAACAAUUUUGAAGGUAAGUUCUCGCUCAUUCUCUGGAUUUCAUUUUUCAAUUCGGUCAAUAGCAUUGACUCACGGUCUUUCUCUGAAUUUCCAGAGACCUCUUCAUCGAAAUUUCUUCUCUAUUGCCCUCCAGACACUGUUAGCCACCACUAACCACAACCGAUCGUCACUGUUCCCAUUUCCACAGCCGCCAUCAGAAGCUCUGUUCGCCCCUGUUCUCUGUCACCAUUGCUGAAGUGCUCGCACUGCAGUCACCACCGUCUCUCGUGACGGUUCCAUUUCACGAAGCUGCUUCUGUGAUCAUGUUACUAAGGUCCGAUCGUUAAUCGCCACAGGUAAUCAUCCUUUAUUUAAUCGAAUCACAUAUGCUCUGUUUCCAGUUGCUCUACGUACAGACUACUGCAUGGGUAAAAUCUACUAAUUGCUUUGUGAGGAUCUCGUUCACAUAACCGAACUGUAUUGAUAUGCAUAUUUGAGGUUGAGGUGCUUUUCUGUAUCUUCAUAUCAGAAUUGUGCAGUGUGUGCGCGAGCCGAGACAUUCAUCAGUAUAUUUGUUGACUUACUUUCGUCGUUUUGUUCAAUGCAUGCCUGACCGUUGCUCUCAACACGUUGUGCUGAUCGACGCUUUAUAGAAGCUGCACUUGGAUUUGCUGGAACCAGCAUAUACUCGACCGGUCAAGUUGAGCACCAUACUUGCUAUUAGCAAAGGUGGUCACUGCAGCAACCGUCUAGUUCGUGAAUAAUUCCCCUAGAAAUGAAAAAAUAGGUGCAAUUCUUAAGAGAAACAGCCGCGGUCCAUGAAAACAAGAUGAGAAAAAGAGACAAAUGUACUCGAUUGAUGGUUUUAUGUGAUGGGUCUAAGUUGGCCUGUCCGCCCAUGUUGGGCCUAAAAGCCCGGCCCACAAUAUUAAGGCCCAUGGAUAGAGGGAUACGAUGAAGGGGUACGUUCCUUUCUGUUUGAGGGACGUAUAAAAGGAGAAAGAGAGAGGGAGGAACACAACCGUUGGCAUAACGUACGUUCCUCUCCCUCUCUCUCUCCAAAAGAAAAACAGUGCGCAAAAGGCGAUGCCGUCUUCUCUUCAAGGCCAAUUGACGUCAUCGGAUCGAACGGGAUCGAUUUCUCUUCGUCUUAUCGACGUUGGUAUUUAAUCUGUGGCUAACAAGGUACGUUCGAUUCCGUGGUGUGCUUUACGAUCGGUGAUACAUGUGAAUUUCCCGGGCUUGUCUUCCGCAUUCGUUUUAGGGAUUCGAUUUAGUGUCGAAUCCGGUUUUUGGGAAUCCGACAAUCCCAACAUUGGUAUCAGAGCCCUAGUUCAUGUUUUCCCGACCCCUUUGAUGUUUUUUGAUUGAAUUUUCACGAAAAUAAUCGACCGACACGGAUCGAGGCGAAAAAUCCUGACACCUGAGCACUGUUCAUCCACUUUUUCGAGUUUCUGUAAGUCGAAAUCGAUUUCUGAAAAUAUAGGGUGAAAGAGCUCGUUGAGACAAGUCUGUCGACAUGUUGUGCGCCACCGGGUGACGCCGGACGCACCCACACGCGCGGCUAGAAGCCACUGCGCGUGGUCGCCACGCGCUGGUGGCGAAUCGGCACUUGCGUGCCGCUGGCUGGCGAACUGGCACGCGUCCGUCGGCGAACCGACGCGUGCUGACAUCACCAUGACGUCACCCAACGAUCGGUAACCGCUGGGAUGACGUCAUUGCCGAUGACUGUUGGCCGAUCGGCGACCCGACCCGACCCGACAUGCGCGGAAGCCGGGCACGUGCCGCGCACACGUCGGCUGAUGUUUGCGUGACGUCAGCCUGCGCACGCACGCGGCACAUGCCGGUCCGUUCGUCCAACCCGGCCUGACCGGUCCGAUCGGUCCGACCCGCUGCCCGUUGACUCGACCCGUCGGCUCGUUGACCCGUUGACCGUUGACCCUAAAAAAAAAGGAAUUUAUUUCUUUUUCAAUUAUGUCUAUGUGGGGUAGAGGUAAUCCGUUUUUUAUUAUGCAUUUGUUGCAUGAAUCAUGGAAAAUUAUGUAUUUUCCAUUUUGUUCNNNNNNNNNNNNNNNNNNNNNNNNNNNNNNNNNNNNNNNNNNNNNNNNNNNNNNNNNNNNNNNNNNNNNNNNNNNNNNNNNNNNNNNNNNNNNNNNNNNNNNNNNNNNNNNNNNNNNNNGAUGACAGAGUUAGCUAAUUAUCGGUGGCAGGAUGGUGAAUUAGUAAUCACAAGUGGUCAGGGUCAAUCAGAAGGUAUAAGGGAAUCUUCUAGAAUGGUUACCUUAUGCCGGAUUUUGAGAAUGUGCCAGCUUUGAUGAACACUCUUCCACCUGAAUGGCAAGCAGUGUUAGAUCGGCUAUGGGAGGUCAACAUGGUUCCGUGUUAUAGGAGGCUAGUGGUAGCUUUUGUAAGAGAAUACUAUAUGAUUGAGUUGACCAAAACUUCGACCCUUAGAUUGAGCACCACAUGGCGCAGAAUGAAUGCGCCUUGAAGGCGACAUGAAAGCUCUCCAAAAGUUUUUUCCAUGGUUGGCAAAUGUGCCUUCAAAUUUCUUAGAUUUUUUUACUGAUAGAUUAGAAUGGACUUUCCCUAUUUAUUUCUUAGAUUAGUUUGAGAUGUUUUUGUGUGUGAAUAUCCCUUUCUAUGUUGAUAUUUUUCUUUGUAUAUAUUGCUUAGUGUAAUGGAUAGUUGUAUUAUGUGAAAGUAUUGUUAUUCUAUUGGAUGUUAGAUAUUAUUUGCUUUAUAUUAUUGUUGACUGUUGUGGGUAGUUCAUAGAAAUUUUUGUAACUUCAUAGAAUUUAUUUUGCAUAAGACAAUUAUAUUAAUAAUAAUUUUGAGUUAUGAUUUUUUGGAAGAUGAUUGGAAACAUAGUGACCUUUUGAUUCUGAAACCUUACUUGAAAUUGUUCAUUGAUAUGAUGGGUCUGUGCAAAGUGGAUGCAUAAAUGAUAGCCAUUAAUUAUUCGUGCAUGUAUGUCUGAUGUGUUUAGAUCGAUGGUUUCAGCAACUAAGAACGUAAUUGCUGAUAUGAACGGCAACAAUUGUGAAAUAUUGAAUAUGAAGAUUCAAUAUGUGCUGGAAAAGCAAGAAGCACUAAAAGCUCUUGACCAUGUUAUGGAAGAUCUUGAGGAUGCCGUGCGCCACCUUGAGCUAGCAGAAGACCGCCUAACGGCAUUUGAGCCGAAAAUAAAUAUUUGCUAUGUUGGUUCUAGCUCAGAAAGGGCUUUGAGCUCUAAGCGCAAGCGUAUUGAUUCGUUCAAUAUGUGGGAAAGCAAAUGAUCAAAUCCUUAUUGCAAGAAAUCAAGAGUUAACCAACACAAGAGAGGAAAACGUCCUAAAGUGAAGAAAAUGUCAAGGGUGAGGUAUUACAAUUGUGACAAGAAAGGUCACUAUGCUCGCAACUGUUGUGAGCCGAAAAAUGUAAAUACCUCAUGUACAUUUGAGAACUUUGCUUAUGUGUCAAGUUCUGUAUUAUUGGCUGAAUCUAAUCCUUUGUGGACUGUAGAUUCAGGAGAAACAAAUCAUGUAGUGAAGGAUAGAGGAUCCUUCGUGGAAUUCUGACGAGUACCAACUGGAACUAAGUGGAUCUAUGUGGGAAAUAACUUCAAAGCUGAAUUUAAAGGGAUUGGCACCUGCCAAUUGAACAUGCGUGGUAGACGCACCUUGUUCCUACAUAAUAUUCUAUAUGCUUCGGAGAUUCAUCGAAAUUUAAAGUGGCUGUUUUGGUGUUGGUUAAGCUUGGUUUUUAAUAUGAACUUCCAUAAUAGAGGUGUAGAUUUGUAUUUGGAUACAAACUACUAUGGUUGUGGUUAUUUUCUGGAUGGUUUUAUUGUACUAAAUGUUGACUAUGAUGAUAUCAAUAUUUGUUAUUCCCUUUUUCACGUCUUCUAUAUCAUAUGAUAAUGAUGUGAAUGUGUGGCAUGCUAAACUUGGUUAUAUUGGCCAACAACGAAUGAAUAGACUAGCCAAAAAGAGCUUGUUGGGCAACAUUGAAAAAGUCGAUUUGCCCAUAUGUGAGCAUUGCCUAGUAGGUAAAACGACAAGGAAACCAUUAGGAAAAGGUAAAAGAGCUGAAUUUCCUCUGCAUUUAAUCCAUUCUGACGUCUGUGGUCCAAUGAAUGUGAGAAGAAGGCAUGGGGCUGUUUAUUUCAUCACUUUUAUAGAUGAUUAUACUCGAUUCAGAAAUAUCUAUUUGAUUUCUCAUAAAUCUGAAGCAUUGAGUUGUUUCAAAAGGUUUAUGAACUUGGUAGAAAAUCAAUUAGACAAGAAAAUAAAGGUAUUAAGAUCCGAUCGAGGUCGAGAAUAUUUAUCUGAUAAGUUCAGAAAAUUAUGUGAUGAAAAAGGAAUAGAAAGACAGUUGUCUAUUCCAUAUAAUCCUCAACUAAAUGGUGUUGUGGAAAGAAGAAACAGAACCCUACUGGAAAUGGUUAGGUCCAUGAUGGCGCAUGCUAACUUACCUAUCACUUUUUCGAAGUGAUGCGUUGUUAACUGCUGCCUAUAUAUUAACUGGGUGCCUUCAAAAUCAGUUACUUCUACUCCAUAUGAGUUAUGGACAGGUAGAAAACAGGACAUAAGUUUUCUUAAGCCAUAGGAUUGUGCUGCCUAUACUCAUGAGUCAUUUCACAAGUUUGGGAAAUUGGGUCCCAAAGAAAAGAAGAGUAUUUGCAUGAGAUACUCCGAACACUCGAAAGGGUGUGUGUUCACAAGUGAGCGGGAAAGUGGGAGUAUAAUUGAAUUUGAAUCACGGGAUGUCACAUUCUUAAAGGAUGAAUUUCCUUUGAAAGGCGAAAUAUGGGAAGAUUACUCACUAUUUGUAAUCUUGGAUCAAGAUAAUGAUAUUAGUGGAGUUCAUCCAAGUGGGAGUAAUAUGAGAAGUGAUGAAUUGAAUUCAACUCAUUCUCAAUUACAACCACAUGAUGAGACGACAUCAUCAUUAUCUAAUCCUAGUGGGAGCAUAAUUGGGAAUGAUGUGCUAAGUGUACAAUCUCCCAUACGGCGAACAAGUCGCCAAAGUAUUCCCCGUCGACCUUUUGACAUUGAAGGGGAAACUUUUAUGAUUGCUCCGCAAGAUGAGGAUGAGCCAAGAAAUAUUAAUGAUGCUCUAAAUUGCCCUAGUAAGGAAAAAUAUAUUCAUGCAAUGGAAGAGGAAAUGGAGUCGAUGAAGUCAAACCAAGUUUAGGAACUGGUUGAUCUUCCAAAAGGACACAAAGCUAUUGGGAACAAGUGGGUUCUCAAAAAAAUAAAGCGAAAAGCUUAUGGCUCGAUAGAAAGACAUAAGGCUCACAUUGUGGUGAAAAUGUAUAAUCAACAGGAAUGAAUUUAUUAUGAAGAAACAUUUUCUCCUGUAGUGAGAUUUACCUCGAUUCACAUUAUUCUGGCAAUAGUGGUUAGUAUAGAUCUUGAGUUACAUCAAAUGGAUGUAAAGACUGCUUUCCUCAAUGGAGAAUUAGAGGAAGAAAUAUAUAUGGAACAACCUGCUAGUUUCAUAGUGAAAGGCUAAGAAGAAAAGGUAUGUCAACUUUUGAGAUUGAUAUACGACCUUAAGCAGUCGUCAAAACAAUAGUAUAUAUGUUUUCAUAAUGCCAUAAUGGCAUAUGACUUUACAAUGAUAGAUGAGGAUCAUUGUGUAUAUAUCAAAAGAUCAAAAGAUCAAUUUGUGAUCGUAUCAUUAUAUGUUGAUGAUAUACUAAUUGCCGGAAACAAUAUGGAGUUUGUUAAUACUGUCAAGAGUUGGUUAUCUUCCAACUUUAAGAUGAAGAAUAUGGGUGAGGCUGCGUACAUUCUUGGAGUUAAGAUUUCCAGAGAUCAUUCGAAGAGAUUGUUAUCUCUUUUGCAAAAAGCAGAUAUAAAUAAGGUUCUUGAACGAUUAGUAUACAAGAUUGUAAACCCAUAGACACUCCUAUUGCAAAAAGUGAAGGAUUGAGCCAUAGACUGUGUCCAAGGACUCCACAAGAGAAGGAACAAAUGAAACAUGUUCCUUAUGCUAGUGCUGUUGAGAGCUUGAUGUAUGCUAUGAUGUGUACAAGACCUGACAUAUGUUUUGCAGUUGGAAUGGUGAGUAGAUACCAAUCCAAUCUAGGUCAAGCACGUUGGAAAGCCAUUAAAUGAAUACUAAGGUAUCUAAAGGAGACUGCUGAUUAUACGCUGAGUUAUUAUGGAAAGGAUCUGCGACUCUAAGGCUAUUCUGAUGCUGAUUGGAGAGUAGAUUUAGAUGAAAGAAAAUCUACAUCUAUGUUUGUUUUCUUACCGAAUAAUGGCACCAUAUGUUGGAGCAGUAAGAAACAAAAGUGUAUAGCCUUGUCCACGAUGGAAACUGAGUUCGUGGCAUUAUCAGCAGCAAUAUAAGAAGAUGUUUGGCUUAAGAGAUUAUUGGAUCAUUUAGGUGUUAUUGGAAGUGCUGCAGAUUCAUUGUUGGUUAAUUGUGAUAGCUAAGCAGUAAAAGCGUACACCAAAGAUCCAAAAUAUCAUGGCAAGACCAAAUAUAUAGAUACCAAGUAUAAUUUUAUCAAAAAAUAUGAUUGCACGAAAGGAUGUGAACUUACAGUACAUAUUACACAUAGAAUGGUUGCAGAUCUUAUGACAAAGCCAAUACCUAGAGAUGUGUUUUGUGGCCAUAUGAAAUUUCUAGGAUUGCGUACAGGCUGAUAUACUGAAUAUUGUAAUUUCUCAUAAGUGUUCACAUUUAAUGAAUUUGUAUUUUCAUCAUUAAUGCCUAUGAAUCUUUGUUUGAUCUUUAUGCAUCUUAAUGCUCAAUGCAUUAUUUUAAGUUGAGAAAGUAUGUCGGACAGAUAUAAGAUUAGCCCACUCACACGGGUAAUCGCCUCUAUUUACUGUGUAAUAAAUAGAGAUGAGACUGUUUUUAAGCUUAUUAUCUAGGUGAUAAUCGAGAGCUCAAUCUUAAAAUAUGUAUGUCACAUUAACUGGGUGUUAAGAUAAGGACAUUGUUGGAGAAAUCUUUCUGGAAUAUUUUGAAGCUAACAAAAUGUUUCUAUCAGUCUAGUAUGAAGUUUUGCAGACUCUACUAUUAAAAGUCUGAAGACCUCCGGACUACCAAACUCAAGACUCAAAGUCUUUUCUCAUUGAUAGUUUCUAAUCUGUUGAAGAAAGGCUAUCUAGAAUUGCUUCAUUAAGGAUUUGGCCUUAUCGAAUGGAGAAGAUCUCUUGGAUGGAUAUAACAUAACGGAUUCCUUUAUUCAAAUCAAGAAUGAUUAAAGAUCCGAUGAUUGGUGAAAUAUUCUUGGAAUAUUCUACUUAUGGAAACCAAGAUCCUGAUUGUAUGGGCGAGCAUGAUUGAUGGGCUAUCAACAUGUUUCUUUAAUAGCUCGAAUAAUCUUCCUAAUUGAUUCUGUCCAACGGGAGGAUUAGAAGAAUUCCUUUGGUAAGUGCCAACGGGUAUGAUGGCAUAGAGGAGUAUAAAAGGAAGACGUUCCAGUUGUUCGAGGAAGUGCACGAUAGAAGAAUUCCAAAGUCUGAAGCUCUUUGAUUCUUAGUCAAUUCACUUACUGAGCGAAAUCUUGUACACAAAAGAGAGUCUAUAUUUUGAGAUACCUUGAGGAAGUGUGGUAGAAUAUCUACACUGUGGAAUCAAGAGAAAGCAUUGCUGUAACAUCUCUUUUGUUCAUAGUGAAAUCCAGCCAGUGGGCUGUCAGUGCAGAAAAGUGGACGUAGGCUUAGAAUAAGCCGAAUCACUAUAAACCUCGUGUUCAAUUUUCUCUUCCCUACUCUCUACUUUACUUUGAUCAUAGUUCGUUUUGUUAACUAAAGGAGAGCCUUCUUUCUGUUGUUUGUCUAGUAUUGCUUUCAUAUCUCGAGAAAUUAUUUUUACACCUAUUCACCCCCCACUAGGUGCUUAUACUAGCUAUAUUAAUUGGUAUAAGAGCUUGUGUACUCACUUUGUUUGAAGUGUUUUACUUCAGAGUUAAAGAUCCAUGGCUAGUAUGCUAGCUCCAGGGCUAGUGGAAGGGCAAAGCAAUACCAGACCACCUUACUUUGAUGGAAAGGAUUACAACAUCUGGAAAAACAAGAUGAAAGAAUUCCUACGAUCAAAGGAUCCUCUGGAAUGGGACGUUGUAGAAAAAGGAAUCACUCCUAAAGCUGCAUCUAUCUCAGAGAGAGGAAAAGAAACUGUUGAGUCAAGAGAAAUGACUUAGGAAGAGAUAAUCAAGAGACAAGCUCUUGAUGCAGAAGCAAUUUAUUCUUUAUAUUGUGCUUUGUCACCUACUGAAUAUAACAUAAUAACUUCUUGUGUUAUAGCAAAAGAAGUUUGAGAUAGAUUACAUAUCACCUAUGAAUGAACUGAUCGAGUGAAAGAGACCAGAAUUAACAUUCUCCUCGGUCAAUAUGAAGCCUUCAAAAUGAAAUCAAGAGAAUCUAUAACUGACAUGUUUAUUCGUUUUAUAGAAAUUGUGAAUGGUCUUCAAAAUCAAGGUCAACUAAUUUCUGAUCCCAUGAAGGUAAACAAGUUACUGCGAGGACUCUCCAAGGAUUGGAAUCACAUAAAGACCUCAAUAAGAGAGACACAAAGAAUCAUGCCACUAUCCGUCGAUGAGUUGGUUGGAACUCUUCAGUCUUAUGAAGUGGAACGAAUCAAUGAAGACAAAGAUCCUAAAGGUAAGAAAUCCAUUGCAUUAAAAUCCAAUGAUAAUUCUGAUGUCACAGAUUUUGAAGACGAUAUGGAUGAUGAGGAGCUUGCUCUCAUGAUAAGAAGAUUCAGAAAGCUGAAUAGAAAAGGAAGAAGAUUCAAUGCAAAGAAACAGAGUUAUCAAAAGCAACAGACCAAGUCUUUUGAUGAUGAUGAAUCAAACAAAGAUGUAGUCUACUUUGAAUGUAAGAAAAAUGGACACACCAGACCCAACUGUCCUUUUCUGAGAAAGAAGAAAGGAAAAGCUGAAAAGAAUCGAAAAGCUCUUAAAGCGGAAACCUAAAGUGAUAUAGAGUGUGAAGAAAGUGAUGAUGAUUAUGCCAAUAUAUGUCUGAUGGCACAAUCGGAUUCAUAUUCAAACUCCGAGAUAGACUCAGAUUCAGACAGUGAAUUUGAGGUAAGUAACUUUAAAAUCCCUGUUAAAGUUUCUAAAUACAUUGAUGAGCUGUGUUUUAGUCUUAAGACUUCUCUUAAAAGGAUUUCCGAACUUAAAAAGGAAAACUCUGUACUAAAACAACAGGAAAAUGUUUUGAAAGAAAAGUUGAAAUGUUUAGACAUGAAUGUUUCUACUCUUAAAGAAAGCGAAGAUAUUCUCUUAAAAGAAAAUACAUUUUAAAAAAAUGACUUAUCAAAUAUUUCAAAAAGAUUUUCAAUAGGAUAUGAGAAACUUGAAAAAAUUCUUUCAGCACAAAGACCUUAUUUUAAUAAAUAUGGUUUAGGAAUGACAGCAGAACCAUUCCUUUAAUUGAUUUUCCUAAAGUGAAGGAAAGAAUUAAGCAAAGACCUCCAAAGACAACUUACAAAAAUCAUUUUCAAAAAGUAUUUGUAAAACCAGUAGGUCGAAAUGCUCUUAGAUGUUCAAAGUGCAAUAGUGCAGAUCAUUUUGAAAAAGAGUGUCCUAUGGUUUGGAAACCUAUUAAGAAAGUAUGGGCAAAAACCGCAUAUCAUACUAACACCAAUGGACCCAAGAAAAUAUGGGUACCAAAGAAAGCUUAAGUCUUUUUAAAUGGAGGUCACUAUCAAGAAAAUAUGGGUCCAGCCGCUGCUCCGCCUUCGACUCGCGUCCUCUGGCCGUCUAGCUCGCCGUUCGACAGCCACAGCACCGCCUAGGAGCCGCCCAAAGCUUCCUCUUGCCCGUCUGACCUCCCCAUCGCCGUCACUCGCCCGUGGAAGCCAACCGGAACCAGCUGCAGUCGUCGUGCCCUCCAGUUCGUCCAGCAGCCGCUCCGCUUGUGUCCGCUCGUCCAGGCCGUCGUUCAGCCACGCCUGGCCACCGUAGGAGCCAGCAGGGUCGCCGGAACCUCUGCCUGCACUGCCUGAAGCCGCUGCUAUUCCUCCUCUGCCGUUUCCAGCAAAUCAGGCCACGGAACAGCUCUUCUCCAGCAAGAUCAGUAGCCGAAGACAGCAAGAAGUUCCAGACUUCAAGGCCCGUUUUCAGUGUCUUCCCGGCCUCCGUUGGUGUCGCCGCUUCGGGGUUUAUCGACCGCCUUGGCGUCGUGGUCGUCGUGAACUCACCGGCGCGCAAAACCGGUGAGUUUAUCAUCUAAACCUCGCUUAGUAAGAUAAUCAUGCUUAAGGGGUGUUUAGAUUAGUCGAAUUAGGUUUAGGUGGUUAGAUUAGAUUAUUUUAAUGUAAAUUAGAUUAGUUGUAUGAUUAGUUUAAUGGAUGUUUAAUUAGGGCUAAUUGUAUGUUUAAAUUAGUGUAAUCUAAUUUAAGCCCUAAUUAAUUAUUUUUAAUUAAAUAAUUAUUUCGAAUUUUUAAAUAUUAUUUUAUUAUUUUAUAUUAUUAUAAUAUAAUAUUUAAUUAUUUAAUUUUCGGAAUUAAAUUUAAUUAUUUAAUAAUUUCGAAAAUUAUGCCGGGAUGGCCGAUUGUUAGAAUUUCGCGCUGAUCGCAGCAGUGCGGUCAGUUUGUAUCAAUUGUAUGCAUAAUUGCGAAAUUGAGUGAAAAUGAUGAUUAUGGUUAAUUAUUCCAAAAUGAGGAAUUAAAUGAAAUUGGAGAAGUUUUGGUAUUUAACUUGAAAAUACCCGGUGUUGGCUUUUGGCACCGUAAUUGGUUUGUAGGAUUAGUUUGAAUCGUUGGAUGUUAUUGGACUGUAUACCCAAUUCUAUGGUUUAAAUAUAUUUACCGCUUUGGCGAGCAAUUGGUUUAUAUAUGUCAGCUUGUGUGAGCAUCAUUGUCAGCUUGUGUGAGCAUUAUAUGUCAGCUUGUGAGAGCAAUAAUCGUUUAUCAGCUUGUGAGAGCAACGAUCCAUAUAUCAGCUUGUGCGAGCUAUCAUCUAUGUAUAUAUCAGCUUGUGGGAGCUACCAUCUAUAUCAGCUUGUGAGAGCAUUGCAUCCAUGUCAGCUUGUGUGAGCCGUGAUUUAUUAAUGAAUUGAUAGAUGAUAUGAAUUGAUAGAUGGUAUGAAUUUAUCGACGUAUGAAUUGCACUGACGUGCAGGAAGGACUGAGGCAAGGUAAGUCCUCUAUUCUCUUUGUGUGGCUAGAGCACCCUGGGGCUUAUUUUCUUCCUAAUCGAGUUCUAGAGGGUAGGACUCGCUGAGACAUUGUCUCAUCCCGGUUGUGGGAUAAUAUUUCAGGUCCCUAGAUGGCGGAUCCUCCGGAGCUUUUUGGUAGACCAGUGAGGGUCGCUGAGAGGAUUUUUGACUUCGCCGAUCCCGACUGAAGAGCUGGCGAAUGGACCUGUCUAGCUGGUCUUAGGACAGCUUUGUUUUUUAGGACUGAUAUUCUAUAGAUCUUUUGUUAAUAGCCUAGUCCUGUAAAUCAACUGGUUUGAUAUGUAUAAAAAGUAUGUGGUUGGUUUUGAAAAUGUGAUCCUGCUUUUCUAUCCCAAUUGAGUUUUGUCUGGGGAUUAUUUAUCCGCUUCCGCAUGUGUAAAUAAAAAGAAUGGGUCGGCGACGUGUCCUGGGAAGUCGCAUUUCUAUCGACCGCAGUGGGAUGUGUGCGUGCUCGAGGUUCGGGGCGUGACACUAAACUUUCAAUGCAACACAAAUUCAUGAUAGGAUCGAUAUUCAUAAACCACCUUAUUUUUAGGUCUUGAUCUCUGUUGAGUUAGGAACUAUUACCUACAGCUUGCUAGAAAUUUUUAGCCAAUAUACUCAUGCUUAUUUGGUUGAGACGGUAACGAUAUCCUACCUGCCUCUAGGUUUGCAUUGUCAGUAGUGACCUCUGGGGCAAAUCUUGUCAGUUCUUUAAAUUCGUCAUACACCAUGUCGUUGUAUCUGAAAUUACCUUCUUAUGUGGCAUUCUUCCUGAGCUCACCUGGGUUCCUUGGUCUAACUGGAAAUCCUGCACUUCAUCAAUGUAUACCUUGUCUAGAUCAUCUUCUCUCUCUUUGCUACUGUUGCACAUGUAAAAAAAAAUAAAAAUUCAAGCAAUUUUUGUCUGAUAUCGUGAAGCUGUAUUGGAAGCUAGUUGAUAUGUAAUCUCAAUUGUGGUUCACUGUGUACUUGCUCUGAGGCUUUUUUGGAUGUUAUUGCACAUAUAACAUGGUGCUCUGACCAUGUACAUAGGUGGUUAGAUAAGCAGAGUUGCAUCUGCCAAUUUAACUUUCAAGAAACCUCACAUAGUUCUGCUUGACAAGCCAUCCAAUCAUUUAAUUGGUUUACUCAUUUUUCUUUUUCAGUUAGCUUGUUAUUGUUCUUGCACCAUUUGAACUUAUCGGAAUCUGGUCUUUACAUUGAAAAUACAGUAAAACCAAUCAGUGAUCACAGCUACA